UAAAAAUAACCUAAGCCGAAGUUUAUUUGCGGUGGGUAACCCUUUUGACCGCGCUAGACCGCUAGGCGUGGCAGGAAGCCUCUACCGUGCCACACACACUGGCGCGGUGGACCGUUACCACGCUGGCGCGGUGCGGCGCCGUGCUAGGUGGGCGCUGAUGUGGGCGGCCGCUUGACGCACAAGCCCGCCUAAUUGCCUGGCGCGGCAGCGCCUCACCUAGACACGCGCGCCAGCUCCUUCCUUUCUUCUUCCUCUAGAACACCAGCGCCUGAGCUCCUUGCCGCCGCUGCCCGCCAUGCCACCCCCAAAUCCACCCAAAAUCCGACGAUUUCGGAGGGAAAAAGUUAAGGAUUGGUAAUCACUUUGUGUGGAAGGUAUCCCCUUACUUUUUCCCUUAAUUUAGCGUUGCAUUUGGUAGAUCAGAGGAUGUUUAGGUGACUUAGGGUUAGGUUGAUGAUUUCAAUUUUGAAUGAAAUGCAAUGUUGUUAUGUGUUAGAUGAUGCGUAGUUCAGACGCAAAAGAGUCUCUGCCCAUGAUAUUGACGUAUAGAACUUGUUGAAUGCUUCGAUUUAGGUAUAUAUUCAUCCAAUUGUGUAGUGUAAAUGACAUGUGUAUUUUUUUGUUUGCAAUAUGUCCAAUAAAUAUGUCCAAUAUGUUUAGUUUACAAUAUAGUUUAUAUGGUGAAGUGUUUGUAUUUUGCAGAUGGAUUGUUUAAUUUGUAUGUUUGAUGGUAGGAUUGUAUUUUGUUGGUAUGCAAUUGUGUAGUGAACAUGACAUGGUGUACAUGAUGCUUUUUUUACAAUAUGUUCAAUUAAUUUGUCUCAUAUUUUUGUUCCUUAAUAUAGUUGCUAUAGUUGAUAUGGUUAAGUGUUUGUAUUUUGUCGAUGGAGUGUUUGUAUUUUUUUAAAAUGAUGUAUAUAGUUCGUAUGGAUUAUGUGUGUAAAGUUUAUUUGUGUAUUAAUUUACUGGCACUUGAUGUCUAGGUGAGAUGACGUCGUUCGGUUGUGAAUACAAGCGGCGUAGGUGGUAUGUGCGUUACGUGGGCGAGUCCAAUGCUGCUGGUCCCAUACCUCCUGCCCUUCCGGUACCUCUUUGUAGAUGUGGCAUGGAAGCAGAGGUGAAACAAUCAAGGUAUCCAAAGACAGCUGGAAGAGCCUUCUAUGUGUGCAAGUGGACUUUUGAUCGAAUGCUUGCCGCACCUUGUGAUUUCUUUCAGCGGAUCAAUGGACCCGACAAAUAUGAACCUAGGAUCCGCCUAUUCCUAUAUUAUAGCACAGAGCUUAAACCAUACUAUCAGUUUAGGCGUUGGGUUCCUCCUCCACCAAACCCACCUAGGAUGACCGAGGAGAAGAAGCAAGAGGCUGCUUGUAGGCGUGUGAGGGAUCCUCCCAUGUGCAAGUGUGGUGUUCCUGCUAAGCUUAUGCGUCCAAACUUAGUGGUUCCACCUAAGUUCACUUCAUUCUUUUGAUGCUCGCUAAAGACUCAUGUAAGUUUAUUAUGAGAAUGUUAGUAUGACGUGUAGCUAGCAGUGAUAGUUUUAUUGAUAUAUGGUCACUUUUAAUGUCGUCAUCGGUUUUUUGCAGGAUGGGUGGCCGUUGUGUGAUUUCAACGAGUAUAUAGACGGUCGAAAGACGAUGUGGCCAACGGAGGAGCAAGUGCGGGAGUUCGAGAGUGGAAAGGCACCAUGGCCAUGUGUGUCCUCUCCUAGUUGUAAAUGCAAGUAUGGUAUAUUGGCAACAGAAGGUGUGAUGCCUUCUGAGCUUAGAUAUGGUUUGUUUUGUGGCAAUGCACGUGGCGGUUAUUGGGUGAGUAACUACUCGUCUCUUUUGUGUUAUUGAGGUUGGAACUUAUUUCAAAUUUGUAAGAAUAUGAAAUUGUUGUUGCAGGAGGGAAGGACAUGUGAUUGGGAAGAUUUUUCUGGUCGUUGUAAUUUGUUAUUAAAGUUGGGUAAUACAUCGGAACCAUGGAAGUCAAGAAAACAACAAAAACUAAUAGAAAAGAUUAGGAAGGAGUAUGAUGUGCCUAUCCCUGACGGCGACUUGCUUUGGGAGAAAAUAUACCAAGAUAUGGUUCAUGAGACUGGAGUGGAGCCUGAAGAACUUUAUGCGAGGCAAACUAUUAUUAAGUAUUGGAGGCAGAACAGAACUAAGUAUCCAUGACCUGGUGCGGCAGGGGUGAGCUGCCGCGCCAACUGCAUAGAACUUUCAGUAGGUUUUCGGCUUGUGGGUGGGGGCUGCCACGCCAGGCGCAGUGGCGCGGCAGGAGUGAGGUGCCGCACCAACUGCGUAGAACUUCUAGUAGGUUUCAACAGGUGGGAGGGACUGCCGCGCCACGCCGGUUGGUGCGACAGGGGUGAGCUGCCGCGCCAACUGCAUAGAACUUUCAGUAGGUUUUCGGCGUGUGGGUGGAGGCUGCCACGCCACGUGUAACGGCGCGGCAGCUCACCCCUACCGCACAAGGCGUAGUGGCGUGGUAGGAGUGAGGUGUCGCGCCAACUACAAAAAACUUUCAGUAGGUUUCGUGGGAUGGGGGCUGCCACGCCACUCCGCCUGGCACGGCAGGAGCUCGCCGCCGCGCCAAAUCUACCCAACUUUCAGUAGGUUUUCUAGGCUGCUGACUCCUGCCGACUCAGCUGCCGCGGCAAGCACUUUCAGUAGGUUUGCACUUUCAGUAGCCUUUUUUAUUGUGAUUUUUUUGAAACUAGUUUGACUCAUCAAGUUAUUCCCUCUCUUCCCUAGUAUGCGUGAGCCGACUAGUACGAACAUUUACGAAAAAAUACAUGAAGCACAAGUAUGUCACGAAGCAAACAUAAACCAUUGUAUGGACCGAAAUGAAACUAACAUCCAACUUAGUCUUUUACACAUGUGACAAUUCCAACAGUCUUGCACACACAGAUAGCAUAAAUUGCAAUAUAGUCCUGCAGCAUUGCACACCUAGUGCAUCACACUUGAGACAUGCACAUUUCAUUGUCGUGGCCGCCGCUAAACCGGAGGGCUAAAAGGAUCUCUUGGGCGACGCUCCCUCCUUGGAUGCGUGGGCAGCACAUUGGCGCUGCCAAUGUCGGUGUGGCCCGGGAACGACGCCGGCGUGGCAUCCGAGUACGAGGUGCAGGUUCCUAUGGAAAAAUUGAGCAGAAAGCAUGACGGUGUAUGACACUUCGGGAAUUGAACUUAACAAUCCAGAAUUGAAUUUGGGAAAACUGGUGAAUGUACCUGGCUGGACUCUCCCUGUGUUUGAGUCACAAGUAGAGCAUCGAUCAUGCUAAAAAUCUCCAGUUCCUCACCAUAUGUAGGGUCAUCAUCCUCGGACUAGUUACCUUCAGAGUCCUCGCUUGCCUGAGGGGAUGCGGGUGCCUUGCCUCGUGACCUCUUGCUAGGACCUGCAGCAAUGGAUGGUGAUGCAGUCCUAGGGGGAGUCGCCAAUGAAGUCCGUCGUGAUCCUAAAGAAGUACCCUAGCCAUUACCCCCAUGGUGCACAUCUGUGGACGACAUGCAGUUCAUCCUCAUGGCCAUUCGCCUGUAGCUUUUCUGACCCUCUACAACUGUAAGUAGCAUACAUUCACGACUAUGAUAUUGAUAGGGUUACGAAGGUAGUAUGGGUAUCAGUGGAAAUUAGGUUGGGCUUGUACCUCUGCGAACUGAUGAAGCACACCAUCACCGGAUCCGACUGCGCGCUCCAUGACCACGCCCGCCUCGUUUGCAAGCCUUGCAAGCUGCUAUCCCUGUACGCAUAGUUUUCAUCCCAUGAAUGAUCAAUGUUACGAUACUAUGAUUACAAACUGAAAUCUUACCAUGUAGUCAUGGAGAGGUGCACGCUCAGGCUGUGUCCCAUAGCGUGUCACCGUGUCAUACACGUCAGCUAUGUCAUCGAACGAGUCAAACGGUGCAUCAUCAAUGGGCACAUUACUCCAAGAUGGCUUCACUUUAGUUCUCGUCGAAGCACAGUACCAUCAUAUGUACUCAUUGUUUGGUCCUGCUCGCCAAUACGGCCCACCUUCAGGAUCGCAUCUUUGCCUGUUCUCCCAUUGGAUGAGGUACUGAGCAUGCUUCACCCUCCAAUCAUUCUCCUUGUACCUCUUCCUGCGGUUGAUCCUGCAUCACAAAAUAGUGAAGUAUUAGUAUAACAUGUUAAGUACGUGUAUCGAAUAACCUCCAGUAGUUAUUGAUUCCUGCAUACUUGUGCAAUUGCUGCAAAGUCGAUAAUUCCAAAGGAGGGCACGGUUGCAUCAUCCCAAACUGCCGCAUCACCCUAUGCGGCAUGUGGAACUCUACGACGUAGUACAAGAUUAUUGGAGUCAUGCACCUCCACAACUCUCUGUCUCUGUAGCACGUCGGUGAAAAUACGAUCUGGCUUAGCUGCUGACGGUCGUACGGUUUCCAUUCAACCUUCAAAAAUUUGUACGCAAUACUUAUUUCAUAUGUCAUUAUACGGAAUAGAGCUUAAAAAACUCUGGUGAGCAAAUUACCUCGUGCUGCAUGACAACAUCCAACUCGUUUAUGUAGGCCCUGUAGUGCCUAUCCGGAUUGCCACGAAUGGGCUGCACAUGCUUCCACACAUGAUAGAAUGUGGGAUGAGCAUCAUUUCGAUACCAUGGCUGCAAUUGCAAGUAAGUCCAAUUGUUCACAUGAUACAACAGUUUUGAGAACAUUAAAGCGGAAGAGAGAAUUUGCCGUUGUGACUUACAUCGACACAGAGACGGCAAGCUCGACCUAUGGGCAUUCGCUCCCAAAUCCAGAUCUGCAGCAUAUAGGUGCACCCUCCAACAUUUGAAUCCCUCGCAGUGCGCCUGCAAGCCUCACAUAGCUACUUGUACAGCCAGGCGAGAACCGCUGAGCCCCAACUGUACAGGGCUAUGUUGUCUCAAUCUAGACCCAAAAUUGGGAGAACCAUCCAAGACACCGCGUUCCCGGCUGCAUCAGGAAGGAGGAAUGUGCUCAUAAAGUGCCAUAGCCAAACAUGAGCGUAAGACUGCACAACCUCGUCAUUUGCUUCCUACGGGCAAACGUUGAAGUGCUCCCUCAACUAUGCGGAGCUCACACCGGAGGUCUUCUUGGAGUUGUCUCCGUCCUCUGGCUCUAGCGGCCUAAUCCCAAUAUGCAUUGCUACCAUGUCACGCAUUUUCUCAUUCUGUAUGAUUCCCGUCACUGGAUGCCCCUCCGGUGGAAGACCGAGUAUCAUAGCAAUGUCCUGCAUCGUGAUGGUCAUCUCUCCGAAUGGGAGGUGGAAGGUGUGAGUCUCCAGACGCCACCUGUCGACCAUAGCGGUCAACAACGGUCCGUCCAUUGGAGGGACACCCGCGACAACAUGAACCGCAAUAUCCAAAAAUCCUGCUCUCUGCAAGUACUGCGCGUACCGCUCAUCCCACCUAAGUGGUGAGUGCACUCUAGCCCUGAGUGGUUUCAAAUCCUGCAAAACAUUAUAAUAUUAUUACUUAGCUAAAAGGAAAUAGACAUUGAUGAAAAAGGUGGUUUUGAACAAAAAUGAGAAGUCAAUGCAUUUGAGAAUAAAGGGCUCAUCAACUAUACGAAUAAAGGGCUACUAAAGUGGUAAGUAACACAAAUAUGAUAUAAAUGGCAUUUUCAGUAUGAAAUUGUUCACAUUGUACACAACAAACUGCAAUGGUGUUUGUCAUCACCGUUUUGAAGUUGAAACUUAAUGUCAGCUGAGAAUUACACAAGCAAAUAUUCAUGGACAGUCUUAGCAUCAAUUUAUAAGAAUUUCGUAACGACUAUUUUCAAAAUGCAAGUGAAAAAGCAUGUUAAGCACUAUUGCGACAAAUUAGCAAGCAUUGAUAAGUUCAUACGAAAGUCUUGCAAUUCUCAUCCUAAGGUACACAUUCAUCAGCAUAAAUUAGCCAGCAUUGAUAAGAACUGAUGCAGUACCUCCUGUAGGUUGGCGAGGUGGUGGGCGCGGUGCUGCAAGUCGUACAUGGACUCAAGAAGCGGGUACACUGGGGCCACCAUCCUAAAUAAACAAAAACAAAAUUCGUUAGUAAAAAGCUGCAUUAUAUGAUAAGUAUAGUAACAAUGAUAAUUUACUAUCAAUAAAUGAUAUAAUGAUAACCUUGCAAAAUACGAGCAACGCGCCUACCCUCAUGUUGGAAGAACGCGGCAUAUUACUGUUCGCCCUAGAUUUCGUGGUCUUAGAAUUUCUAUUGCGGCAUGUGCAAUUCCUAAUGAUCUUGUGGCAUUUCGAGCAACGAUUUUCCGACUUGUCCACAUCAAAAUCACCAAUGCCAUAAUCUGCAGAAAGCCUCCCUUGCGACACGUCCAUGUCGCCUAUCAAACGCUUCUUCUGCCUCCUUCCUACUUUAUUUCUCAUCAAAUUGGAGUUGGGCACAUACCCUACCCCUUCAUAUGCCGGCCAUUGUGGCGGAUCAAGGUAACGUUGAAAGCUAGAUUCCCAUAUUCUGAUGGUGUGCUCCCUAGAGUACAAUGGUGACAUGUACAAGGGACUUUCAUAGUUAAGACCUCUUGCCUUGCAAGCUGUAAUGAAGUGUGAACAUGGAAGGUGCAACAAUUGAGGAAUGUUGUAGGUGCACGAAACUUCGUUCAGAUCCACUCUGUAGUGUCGGCCUCCAUGACUCUCACCUCCAACGUUAGUAGUACCGCAACUUUUUAUAGAAUACACCAUCCUUUCUGGCCCGUACGGUUCUGCUAAGUAGUGCACGGAUCUAAGCUCAGCCUGUGAUAAAAAUUCAUCUGCAACCUUCCUAAUUCUAUGGCCUUCAUCCAACAUUGCACGUGCCUUUUGCCAUCAAUCCACAAAGUAGGCGUUGCAUUUUUCGAAUGAGUAUUCAAUAAUUCCAGAGACGGGCCUACUUUGGAUGCCUUUGAAAAUAGUGUUUAGUGAUUCCGAGUAGUUCGUGGUCAUAAUACCCCAACGCAUCCCUCUCUUAUCGAAAGCCUGCGCCCAUUUAUCCUAAUCCUCCAUUUCACCCGUCAACCAUUCUUUUGCAUCAUCGUUCAAGUCCUUCACUAGAUCUUCUAACUUCUCACUAAAUUCUCUCUCCGUAUGAACCUUGCAUAAAGUCUUCAAUUUUCCAAUCACGCGGUCGGUCUUCUGCCGACGCGACAUGUUGGCAGCAAAGUGCCUCGUGCACCACCUAUGCACAAGCGGUGGAAAACCAUCCAUGUGGUCCUUCGCACAAUUUAGGAGCCUAUGGUGCCUAUCCGAUAUCAUACACACUUGCCGUGAAGGUCCAAGUACAUGUUGCCAAACAAGUUUCAUAAACCAUGACCAACUCUCAUUAUUCUCACUCUCGGCCAAAGCAAAAGCAAGAGGCACAAGCUGCUAUUCUGGAUCUACACCAACUGCCAUCAUUAGUGUACCCUUAUACUUUCCAAUCAAGAAUGUACCGUCCACAAGUAUCAUAGGACGGCAAUGUUGAAAUGCCUCACUACAUUGAGGGAAACACCAAAAUACCCUUUGGAGUAUAUGCUUCAAAACUCCAUUGUCAGGAUGCAUCAUGCCACAUGAGUCAAUGAACCGUUUAACCCUGGGAUUAUAGUAGGCUAUAGCUGUGAGUACCCUAGGAACAAUGCCAUAAGACUCCUUCCAGCCCCCCCAAAGUAGGGCAACGGCGUGUUGCUUCGCCCGCAAAGCCUUUGAAUACUUGACACGGUACCCACUAAAGGCGAAGAUGGACUCCACGAGGGAUGUCUCGCUGUCUUUACGGAUAAUGCCUAGAAUACGCCGCCCAAGGUACUUUGUUGUGCACUGGACGUCCACUCGCCUCGGCUGUGAUGAACGACAAGUAUGCGGUUGCACAACAUUUGAAAUUCUUCAUUAUCCAGUGCUUGAUAUUAGCCGAGACCAUACACGCCAAUGGCAUCCUUGCUUGCACAUCACAUUGUACCUUAAGUUCUUGUCAGAGUGAACUAUGCUAAAAGGUCUAUGUAACCUCACUGCGUAGUCAGCCAAGAAAAACUUCAGCUCUUCAAGACUAUUAAACUUCAUUCCCUUCUUAAUCACUAGACUCUCACUAAAGGGCAUUCCUUCGGAAUUCACCAUACUAGAUUCACAUAUGGCUUUGUGGACCAUACUGAUGUCCUCAUCAUUGGGAACGGAUGGCAGUUCGACAUCACGUUCUUUUAACAACCGCAACUUGUUCUGGGUGUAAGAAAAAUAUUCGUCCAUACGACCAAUGCCUUCUAUAUCAUGCACGGUUGCGGUGUCGAACUGCGGUCCAUCCUCUUCAUAUUCUACCUCCUCGUCCUCAUUUUCAUGCCCACCACUCUGAGAUAAUGACUCCUCCUCUGCCUCGACACCUACUACCCCAUCUUCGUUGAAUUCACUAUCUUCGGAACCCAUGGAGACAUUAUCAUCAUCUAUAUUUGUUUCAUCCCUCUCAAAAGUGUUAUUGGAAAAAUCACCAUUGGCAAUAGCUAAGUCAAAAGCACAUUCUAUUUCACCUAACACGUGAUGCAAUAUUUCUGACUCCUGGGUACCAUUACGAUUCACUACCACCACUUCCUCCCUGAAGACAACAUUUGGGCCAGGCAUACGAACAAUUUCAACUAUAACCUCCAAACAUGCAACAUUUGAUUCGUGAACUACAUCCUUGUAGUGCUUCCAAUUUGAAUCGGAUGCCAAGUUCAUGAGAACAUAAUGAGCUCUAGCUUUCCCACAAUCAAAACGACCUCUCAAACUCAUCUCAUACACUCUACAUCCAUACUUCAUCAUUGCACGAUCAACUAAAUCAGUAAAACUUGGAGGACUCUCGAAGAAUUCAAUUGACUCAUUCAUAUUCUCUAACUCCCCAUUUUGUUUCACAAUACCACCAUAAAAAAAUCGAACUAAGCGAUCCAUCUACAAAAUACAAACAUUUCACCAUGUCAUAUACACUACACAUUGCACAUAUUCGACAUAUCAACUCGACACAUUCCACAUAUUGGACAAAUUGCAAAUAAAAAAUAUACAUGUCAUGUACACUACACAAUUGGAUGAACAUAUAUACCUAAAUAGAAGCAUUCAACAAGUUCUACACGUUAAUAUCGCGGGCAGAGACUCUUUUGCGUUUGAACUACGCAUCAUCUAACACAAAACACCAUUGCAUUUCAUUCAAAAGUGAAAUCAUCAACCUAACCCUAAGUCACCUAAACAUCCUCCGAUCUACCAAAUGCAACGGUAAAACACGAGAAAAAGUAGGGGGAUACCUUCCACACGAAGUAGGGAUCGAUUUCCUCAACUUUCCCCCACCGAAAUCAUCGGAUUUUGGGUGGAUUUGGGGUGGGGCGGUGGGCGGCGGCGGCAAGGAGCUCGGGCACGGGUGUUCUGGAGGAAGAAGAAAGGAGGGAGGGAGGAAGGAAGAAGCCGGCAUGCGUGUCUAGGUGAGGUGCUGUCGUGCCAGGCGGGCUGGCGCGUCAAGCGCCCGCCUGGUGCGGCGCGGCGCCGCGCCAAUGCAUGUGGCGUGGUAGAGGCUUCUUGCCGCACCUGGCGGUCUGGCGCGGGCAAUAAAGUUCGGCUGAGGUUAUUUUUAAAAAUAAAUUUUUAAAAAGUUAAAAAUAAAAAAAUCACAGCCGGCGAUUCCGAUCCAAAUAUUCUACCAAAAGUAAAAUAAUAAUCACUCCAUUGAAGGCCUCUAUGAUCCUCUCUUUCCAUCUUUCAUGAAACCCAACAGGAGAUCUUUUCCUUAUUACGGUGAUAUGGGUAAUUACUACAGUAGCACGCUAAUCUCUCUCUCUCUCUCGCUCUCUCACUGAAGCCAGAACCCUGCAACCCUGCCAUCGCCCAGUCGCCACCUGCACCAGUCCGCGGCCACGGUCUGCGCCACGGAGCCGUAAGAUUCUUUCGACGCGUCUAGUUCGAUCGGUUAGUUUGCGUAGACGCCAUGCAUCAAUCAUUUCUUUCUCAUAUAUUCAUCCACAGCGGCAUGAUUCAGUACCCUGUUACAUCUCAUCUAUGGCCAUUAUUGCCCGAUUUCGACAGAGCGUGUGCUUCAAUCUGGUCUGGUCCCCGUCGUCUCUGUUGUUUUCAGGUUGUGUUUUGGCGACCUCGUCGCACACGACAGCCAUGUCCUGGGUCAUGGGCACCGCUGCUGCCAUCGUCCUGAUGGCGUGCGGCGCGAUGGCCGCCGGAGCCGCGGCGGCCGCGUUCCUCGCCACGCUAAGGGCGCUGCGGCGGUCGGUGGCGCGGGAGGCGUUGCUGCGGGCGAGCCUCGUGAGGCACAAGGAGGCGCCGCAGCAGGCGGAACGGAAGAGCCUCAACAAGACCAGCGCGUUCGCCGGCGCCAGCCACGACAUCAGGUCGGCGCUGGCGGCGAUCACGGGGCUGGUGGACGUGUCCCGGGUGGAGGCACGGGCGCACCCGCAGAUCACGCGUAACCUUGAGCAGAUGGAUGUCUGCACAAAGAAGCUGCUCGGUGAGUUGGAACUUUGCAUACUUUGUAGCAACUGUUAUUGUAGAUAAAUGUUCGUCUGUUCGGAUAUUGCAGCUUUACAGUAUUUGAAUUUUGGUACUAGUAGCAAUGUAGCAUAGGAAUGCUCAUUCAUCGGCUAAAAUAUACAUCUAUGUUGAAAAUUGUUGCAGCUGCACAGUUUAUGAAUUUAAAAAGCCACAGUUUUAUUAGAAAUAUAUAGGCUUAGAUACCAUUUCUUUUACAGUUUUUAUGUACAUAAUAUGUCAAUUGAAAUGGGCCCUCGCUUUGUUCGUUUUAUAACUUGGAGCACUUUAUAAUCAGGAGAAUCCUCAACACUGCAAUGUAAUUUGUGCAGAGAUACUUAACUCGAUACUAGAUACAAGCAAGGUUGAAUCAGGAAAGAUGCAGCUUGACGAGGUUGAGUUCAACCUAGCAGACGUUUUGGAAGAAUCCAUGGACAUGAUCAACAUAGUAGGCAUUAGCAAAGGGCUGGAAGUGGUCUGGGAUCCCUGUGAUUUUUCCAUCCUCAAAUGUGGAGAUGUGAUAGGAGACUGCAGGAGACUCAAGCAGAUACUGGAUAACGUACUCGGCAAUUCUGUGAAGUUCACUCAAGAAGGGCAUAUCAUUCUUCGUGCUUGGGCAAACAGGCCCAUUACAAGAAGCUCAACCAUUGUUCCUUCGAGAUUUGGCUGUUUAAGACCCGGUGCCAAUUUCUUAUGUUUCUUCAAAACAAGAGAACAUCACGAUGAUUGUCAUCCGUUCAGUUUGGUUCAAAAUGAUCCCAACUCGAUUGAGUUCUACUUUGAAGUGGAUGAUACUGGCAUUGGAAUCCCAAAGGAAAAGAGAGAGCUGGUGUUUGAGGACUAUGUUCAAAUUAAAGAAGGGCAAGGAGGAACUGGCUUGGGGCUUGGAAUUGUUCAGUCUUUUGUAAGUUCUGUUUCCAUGCUGAAAUUUCUUGUUUGAGAUAUAUUUGACUAUUUUUUACAUACUAUCUCUCUCUUGUGAAAUUUCUGAAUUUUACCUGACAUAUAUUGUGAAUACCAGGUUCGUUUGAUGGGAGGUGAGAUUAGCAUCAAGGACAAAGAGCCUGGUAAAAUCGGAACCUGUGUUGGGUUCAAUGUGCUCAUGAAGCUGGAUGGAGCCCAUGAACAACAUGACAUAGAAGAAGGCAGUUCAAUCCCAUCGACAGAAACAAGCGAAAGCCGCAUCCGAGCCUCAGCCUUCAGAGAAGCUAAUAGCUUUGAUGGUGUCCACUGUGUGCUUCUUGUUCAUGGUGGUGAAACACGAAGAAUCCUGCGAGCUUGGAUGGAAAACCUUGGGAUUGAAGUCUGCCUAGUACCACAACUCGAGUUCCUUGCUGCUGCCGUUGAGAAGUUGUGCCAUGCUGACACUUCUCCUGCAAGGACAUCAUCAGACAGUUUUGAAUGUCGCACGGACUACUGUUUCAGGCCCAGAGAUAGGGUUGUCCAAAUACUGCCCGUUGCACUGAAUAAUAGCAAUAGCGUCCAAAGAGGCACAUUUGGAGGAGUGCUAGUUGUCAUUGACGCACACUAUGGAAAAAUGGAGGACAUGUGCACAGAGAUGAGCUUUGCUAAAGUUAAAAAUCAAAUUCCAUGCAAAGUUGUUUGUCUUGCAGAUGCGAAUACCUCUUCAAAUGACUUGAGACAGUUCAGGCACAGUACAUGCUGUGAUCUUAUCCUGCAAAAACCAAUCCACGGGUCCCGGUUACACGCUCUCUUGAAGAUCCUGAUGGACCUGCAGAUGCCGCACGCCCAAAACUCAUCUCAUGUUAGUCCUGAUGACAACACUGAUACCGGCACUCCAGGAGGAUCAUCAGGAGCUGGCAAAUCAGCCAUGAUCACGCAUACGGCUUCAGAACCAAGACUGGAAGACGAUAAACCCUUGACUGGAACACAUGUAUUGUUAGUGGAGGACACUCUGACUUUGCAGACUAUUGGGAAGAAGAUACUGUAUCAGCUAGGAGCAACUGUUGAAGUGGCAGAGGAUGGAGCCAAAGCUGUCAGCAUGUUUGAAGCUGCUCUUGAACAAGCCGCAGCUGGCUCGGAAAAGGAUGCAACAUCCACUCCCUAUGAUGUCAUCCUCAUGGAUUGCCAGGUUAGGUUAAAAAAAAAAUCUUACAAUACCCACAUGUUCUCUUUUCCUGUACUAGAACACUUCUCAUUCUCUGUGUGAGUUGCCAUCAAAUUAUCUGCUAAUAACCGGUCUACUGGUAGUAAAAUUGCUGUCUAUCACACAUCAUAUUUCCCGUUGAGAUGUUCAUUACUAGGACCUGUUCUUUGUGCCAGAUGCCCGUGAUGGACGGCUACGAAGCGACAAGGCGCAUCCGUGAGGUGGAGAACCGCUACGGGAUCCACACUCGGAUCAUCGCCUUGACCGCGCACGCCAUGGAAGAGGAGACGCGGAAGACCAUCCUCGCCGGGAUGGACCUUCAUCUGACCAAACCCAUGGAACGCAGGAGCAUAGCAGAAGCGAUCCGCCGCGUGCGCGGAGGCCAGGGAUAGGGUCUCCGCCAUGUCGUUGCAUCGACCUGGGAACUGAGAUUGCUGCCAGCUUGCCGCUGCCCAGUGGCAAUCUUCUUGGCUCUUGGCUACAGACAAGAGUUAAGAACUUUUUUUCUAUUGGGACACUUGGUGGUGUGCGACUGGUGAUCGGUAGGUUGCGUGAUCAACGAUCACGGCAGGACUUAUCGCGGGGGAUAGUUUCCUGAUAUCUGAAAAUAUCGGCUGCGGAGAUAACAGGUUUUGACCUUUGUUGCAUACUCUGUGUGCUUCUCGGCAAUCAUUGAGAUGGGGGGCGAAUAAUUCAGACCUGUCAAACUCGGUAUGUGCAUGCGGAGACGGGAGCAAACAAUGCGCACUGUUGUUGAUUGCGCUCGUCUAAAAUGAUUGGUACAAAAGGAUUUUUAAGCUUAUAAAUGAUUUUUUUUGGAACGGGCUGUAAAAAUGGGGCUCAUCUCCCCUCUUGUUUCACUAAUUGAAAAGGGCUCAUCUACUUUGAAUAUGGCUUAGCUUAGAUGGAGUUAGUAGAAUUGCUCAACCAUUUAAAUGAGGAUCGCUGUGUGUUCUAAUCCCACUCGCUAAUUGCUACGGCAUGUAAAUGUUCAAGUGCGCUCACUUAUCUCAGGUCAUCGACGGGGAUAACAAUGGUGGCGUUUUCUUUCUUAUCUUGGACCAAUCGAAAGAUACUUCCUCAACUUUGAAAAUAUCUCAUUAAAUAUCGGACAUCAAAGAGAGGAAGAUAUUUCUUCUCGCCAAAGCGCAUGCCGGAUAGAUCCUGCGAGCUUUGGCGACUCCCUUUUUGCACUUUUGGAUAAAUCCAAGGGGUGUCGCUCGCUGCAGGACCGGUCCUCCACUCCUCCUCGAAUCGAAAGGAAGCGCGAGACAGCGAGACGGGGCGCCACGCCUGGCAGAAAUGGAGCUUUCUUGUCCUUGGACUCUUGGGAGGAGAUGGAGAUCAGAUCACUUAACCCAAGUCAUCCGCUAGUCUAGUGUGUGCGGGGAUCGGAAUGGGAUGGCCGACGCCGACAGGGCUUCGGCCUUUCCUAUCCCCCAAGUGGCCAAGCUGGCGACGUGAUCUCCAACCCAUGAAGCAGCCCAGCCUCAUCCACUUGCGCGCGAGGGAGACCUGUUGGUUGACGGCCCACGCCGGGCCCGUCCCGUUCCCCAUCGGCCGACUUCCGCCGAACCGUGUCCUGUCAGCCUGCCUGUCAUCCCGUGGGCGCUCAUCAGGUUUCUAUGAUAAGGAGUAUAUUAUUACUAGUGGCACGUGACGGGUUCGCCCAAUUCAACCCGGCAGGGCAGCUGUGUGUGACCGUCUGCCAGUAGUGAGUGAUUCGUGCGCUGAACCAGGCCGCCGUCCCAGACUCCCAGUUGCGUUGCGCUUUGGCCUUUCUCCCUCUCGCGCCCCGGCUGGCGGCGUCACGCAUGGGCGUGCCCCGUGCAUGGCUCUGUAAAAUUUUGCCAAGGGGCACGGUGAACAUUACGAUACCUCCGUGAGCCGUGCCCGUCCGUCCGCGCGACGCGCCCGUGCGGCCGGCCGUCGCGGCAGAGGCACCCCCACCCACCCCUCCCACCUAUAAAGCGAACCGGCCCGGGCGGGACGCGCCCUCACAGCUCUCCUCGCGCAUAAGCGCCCGCGCUCUGCUCGGACGAGCGGACGAAACGGGCGGGAGCUUCUCCCCCGCGGCUUCGUCUCCCGCCACCGCCACGCGCGCCUAGCUAGCAGCUUUCCCUCCGGCGCGGCGCGCUUCGCAUCGUCACCGAGGGGAAGAGAAACAAGCGGCGGCAACGAGGCGCGUCCGGAUGGAUUUCGCAACCGAGCAGCACGGGUAAGCAAGCAAAGGCGAUUCGAUUCGAUUCGAUUCGAUGGGUCAAUCGAGAAACCAUUUUGUCAUGGAAGAAGAGAAAACUCAUCCGCUCUGUUCUGUUUGUCCGGGACGCGAAGUUGCGAGCAUUACAGGCGCGGGUGCCGGGUCGUGGCGCCCUGCUGCGGCGAGGUCUUCGGCUGCCGCCAUUGCCACAACGACGCCAAGGUCCGGCCCUUGAUAUCGAUUUCGUUUACCCCCUCUCCGCUCUCAUUCCAACCAUGCUGCUUCUGUUGUUUAUGUCUUUGAAUUAAAAGAAAAAAACUCUGAAUCAUUGGGAUUUCCUCUGUGCCGCAGAACUCGCUCGAGGUCGACCCGCGCGACCGCCACGAGAUCCCUCGUCACGAAAUAAACAAGGUCGGUGCUUCUUGGCUAAUCUUGUGCUUGAGUUUUCACCGUUUGCUUCUGUCCUUCCUUUUCUGAAGUUGUUCUGAAUUUAGUUAGGCUUCAUGCAUCAUGAUUCAUUGAUUCUUUCCUCUUUGGGAGACCCAAUGUUUCUUGUCCAAUGUCAAAAUCCAAAGAAACCAUUGGCCCUUUCAGUCUAAAAGAAGCCCGUCCUCAGAUCUUUCGCCCAUUUCUUCAGAUAAGGUUAGCACAAUAGCCUAGUGAUAUCUCCAGGGAUCCCAAGAUUUUUUUUUCUCACCCAUCUUCAGAUAAAAGGCGACAUCCGGAGUAGAUGUGCUCUAGGGAAUCGUUCCUUCUUGAUAUCAACUCACUCCACUUGUCAAUAAAAUAUUGGCCACUUCUGCUCAUCUGCUGCAACCUGACCUGCACCUUGUGGCCGGCGGGCAGUGUGGUCCACUAGAUUUUUUUAAGCUCAGGCAAGAGUGCCAUUAGAAGGAAGGCGGCUGGGAGAUUAGUGAAAAAAGAGAAGCAAGAAAGGGAGAGGACAAAGGCAUAUCUCACAUCGAAUUGAAAGGAGUAACUGCACUCAGCUGAUUGAGUGCUGCAUAAUUGAGAACCUGAAUAUGAUUGCUGCUCACUGUUGUAUUUCCUUAUCUAGAUCAAGUAGCAAUCGAUUUGCUAAAGCAAUUCUUCACACUCUUUCUUUGACUUAUUUAAUGAAAAUAGGUAGGGCCAUAGGGGCCUACGCUCCUGACUUUCCAGAAAAAAAGGAUAGGCUAAAUCAUAUUUGAUUCUUUUCUGGAGUCCACAUGGGCAUGAUUGCUUCCCUAAAAAGAAAAGAUCGGCUAAAGAAAUAGAUUUCUCCAGACAUAUAAUGGCCAUUAAUGUCCUAUCCCAUUUCUGUACAGUAGAGAAUUCUGUGGCCAUUUCGAACAGUUUUCUGAUAAUACAUAUAAAUUAUUUGGAUACAUGGAGUAAUAUUCUCCUUUUAUUUUAUUUAUUAAAGAAAAAAUAAAUAUUAGACCACAUGGACACAGCAUGCUUUUACAACUAUUUCAGUGGCUAUUCCUUUUACCACUAAAAUCACACGAAUUCGGUUCCCCUUAUACUGUGGACGUACUGAAACUGUUUUACUAUACAGGUGAUCUGCACUCUCUGUUCCAAAGAACAGGAUGUAAGUUAUCAAACCAAAUAGUACUCCAAGUCAUUCAAGAACAUUUAUUGACAUAAAGGCUAGUUUCAUGAACACUGUUCAUUUCCAUUGACAAAUGACAGGUGCAACAGAAUUGUUCUAACUGUGGGGCCUGCAUGGGGAAAUACUUCUGUGAAAUAUGCAAUUUUUUCGACGAUGAUGUAAGCACAUUUUUUUUUUGUUUUGACUCUUUGUGAUAAAUUAAUAUUGGCUUAGAUAUGGAGAUCACCACGCUAUACUUUGUAAAUAAAUUUCAUGAUUCCCUUCCUCGCAAAAUAAAAAAUCAUGCUUCCCAAUCUGAUAGACAUACUGCCCUGUUCCAGAUCUCUAAGGGCCAAUACCACUGUCAUGGAUGUGGCAUAUGCAGGCAAGUACCAACUCACAGCUAGGUUUUCCUCCAAAAAUACUUUACCGCUGUGCUCAAAUUUUUCUGAAGCAUUUGCUAUUUAUUCAAAAUGAUCAAUCUGGAUUCCUUUAUCUUCUUUUUUUUCAGAACUGGCGGUGCAGACAACUUCUUUCACUGCGACACAUGCGGUAAGUUUCUGCAUGACAUUCGUUCUGCUAUGAUUCUAUUAACUGUUCCGCAACAAGGAUUUCACCAACUCUCGCGCUGCCUUUGUUGUAAUCUGACAGGGUGUUGCUACAGCAAUGUCUUGAAGGACUCUCACCGCUGUGUGGAAAGAGCAAUGCAUCACAACUGCCCUGUCUGCUUUGAGGUGAGUGGCCUGUGCUCCAUGGUAUUUCAUUCAAUCAUUCUAAGAAAAGAAAUCAUUUCAUUUUGAACUAUGCAGUUCGUGAUCUUGAGAAAAAUUCCUCUCUCUUCCUUGGCAGUAUCUGUUCGACUCCACGAAGGACAUCAGCGUGCUGCAGUGCGGCCACACGAUUCAUCUGGAGUGCAUGAACGAGAUGAGAGCGCACCAUCAGUGAGUUCCUCGCUCGCAUCCUUCAGAGACAACUUUUUCAUCCCAUUCCCGCAACGAUCUCAAGCCCUUUUUGACUUUGAUCUUGGCAUCAGCUUCUCGUGCCCGGUGUGCUCGAGGUCCGCCUGCGACAUGACGGACACGUGGCGGAAGCUCGACGAGGAGGUCGCGGCGACGCCGAUGCCGGAGAUCUACCUGACGAAGAUGGUAAGCAGCAGAUCGCUAACUCCCCACACACGACCCUGCAGGUCGGAUGCCGAUUGCUGAAGCUGAACGAUGGAUGGACUGCAGGUGUGGAUCCUGUGCAACGACUGCAGCGCGACGUCGAGCGUGCGGUUCCACGUGCUGGGGCAGAAGUGCCCCGGGUGCAGCUCCUACAACACCCGGGAGACAAGGGCCGGCCCGGCGCUCGCCGCGCGCUCCAGAGUUUGAGCAGAGGCCCACGCCACAAACGCCGAGGAGGUUCAUUCGAAGCCCAAAGCGUCCAUGUCCACCAGGUACAUCAUGGUCGAGGAUGCAGUUGAAGCGCGGUGCUGUCCCUGCGAUCCCUGCCGGGAAGGCGCGCUGGCUGAAGCUGGAGAGGAGAGACAUUGGUUUCGGCAGCUUGCAUUGCAUGUUCAGAGAAUCACUGUGUGCCAAUUGCCUCACUGUAUUUGCUAUGGUUCGCUGGAGCAAUUGAGUUGCAUUACAUGAGCGAGCCUCUCUAGGCCAUGACCGUGUACCGAACAGAAACUGGGAAUUUUGCAGGAAUUUGAGUAUCAAAGCAGUUCAGUGUAGCUCUCUACCUUCUUCAUUUAUCUUUGUGGAAAAGACUUGGCUUUGUUACCAGAAAUUCGUUUCAGUCUUUCAGAAGCAAGCAGGAAUAGAAUCUGGGCCUAACGCCCCGGCAGCCCAUAUGUCGGGCUGAAGCCGCGCCAAACCAGAAUGGGCCGAGCAGUUUACAUGAAACCUGAUGCACUUCACAGUUUUUUCCUUUCCUUCUGAGGAUUCAGUUUUUUCUCCCUUCUUUUCCAUUUGAAAAAAAAAGAAGAAUUGUGAUGGCAACUUUGCACAGCUGAUUAUUGUGUGCAGUUGCGGCGGAACUUGUUUUUGUUUCUUGUCACCCAUCUGCGGUACACUGCCCCGACCAAGCUGGCCAAUUGAGUGGUGGUGGUGCUGGUCUGCUGGAGCCUGCAGGCGGGGCCUCGACCGCUAACGCACGGCGGCAGGAAACUGCUGCUGCUGCAUCAUCUGAUUUGAUUAGCCGAAAAGGAUCGCUCCACGAAACGGCCGCCUUUCUCUUUCCAAAUCAUCCCUACUGUGAUGAGCUAUCCAUCAUAGCAUAAGGCAUGGUAUCAUGCUUGUCCUCCCUGUAUACCAAUAACAAAGAAAAAGCCGUGCUCCUUUUUAUAAUCUCUCCCGUUUGCUAGUUGUUUGUUGUUGCACAAGAACUGAACUGCGGUGGCUCACCGGUAAUGCCUAACUACUGAUUUCUUGUGAGAGCAACCCAUUACAUUGUUUUUGUUUCACCUGAGAGGUACAGACGCACAAAACUAAUUCAAGCUAACGAACCGAGUCAGCGCCUUUGCGUAUAUGCACAGUCGUGAAAGCUACAGCAUCGCGAAACCGCAUCUAAUGCCCUUCAGCCCUUGAUCGAUAUAACAACUUAUAGAGAUGGAUAGAUAGAUACAAGUAUGAUUGAAUAUACACGUACGCGCCAAGCCAGCAAGUAUCGUUUGCUUGGUACCUGGAGACCGGACGAGGAGCGUCGUGGUCACGCGCGCGACCACGUGCCGGAGGCAUACGCCUACCAGGUGCGUCGCAUGAUUGGGAUGCAGCUGUAGACCCGUACUAGUAAACUCCACGAGCCUGGCAUCCUCACGAUCACGCUUCCCGAGCGACACACGAAAAAGGGACGGAGGGGUAGGUAACCAACGAGUCCUCCUGCUUCGUUGCGAAAUACAGAUGUCCUUCGGUGGGAGUAGCGUCCAAAACAACCCCGUGGCCGGCAACGGCGGAGCACGCGUCAUCGUCAUCCGUAUCCAUCCCCUCCGCCGAUCCACCGCAAGGCCUCUGCGCGAGAAACCCGCGCGACGUCCGCAGUGGUGCCGAGCGCCCCGAACCCACCCACGUUUCCCAUGAUCACGAGCGGACGAGCCCACGACCCCGCGCGCCGCGCGGAUCGGGCGCGGGCGCAGCAGGUCCCGGCCGAAACGGCGACAUCACACGUCCGCCACCUCCCAAAACAGCCAAAAACCGCAGUGCUCCACCCGCGACGCAACCCGACCGCUCGCGUGUCGCGUCGGCACUCGGCCGGCCGCCGGCCUGACCCGCAGGCCAGACGAAACAAAGCCAUCGCGGCGGCCUGGCCGGCCGGCCCCGCGCGCCCUUCUUGCCAACUCGGCGGCUCGCCCCCGACGGAACGGACCGAGGAGCACGCGCCGCUUCCCUGACGCUCUCUCUGCCCGACUGCCUGCCAUAAGUAGCUGGACCAGCCGUGCCCGACGCCCCUCUCGCUCUCCUCUCCCCCCGGUCAAAGCCAGCACGACAACACACCGGACUGGCUAGCUGUCCCCUUCGCUCCCUCGGCUUCCUUCCUCGGCGCCGCUGCCGGCCCGCGCCUGCGCCUCCGGCCGCGCCUCUAUCCCUCCGCCCCGCCCCUCCCGCCUCGGCCCCGCCCGCAUUCCUUCCCGCGCCGCGUCGCCACCGAAUCGGGCGGAAUCCGAGGGGAAGGGGGAGUAAUGGGGUCGCCGGGGGCCGGGAGCAGCGGCGGCGGCCACGAGUGCUCCUUCAAGAUCCUCCUCAUCGGGGACUCGAGCGUCGGCAAGAGCAGCCUCCUCGUCAGCUUCGUCGCCGCCUCCCAGCUCGACGACGACAUCGCCCCGACCAUCGGUACGCCCAUCGCUGAUCGAUCACCCACCACCACCACCACGCUCCAUCUCGCUACCUCUCGCUCGCUGCUCCUCUGCCCCCUCACCGCGCCGAUCGAAGCCGAUUCUCCGAUCAGGCCUAGCGCUGGCCGCACGCGAUGCGACCGCGCUGCUUCUGCCGUAGUACCAGAACGGAACCGGACCCAGACCCCCAGCGUACACUCCUAGUCGUAGCAGUGGUACGGCACUAGGAUUUCCGGGCGGACGAAGCUAGCUACCUGCGGAGGCAGGAAUCAAGGCGGCGUCCGUGCGUGAUGCGUCAGUCUCUCUCUCACCACUCACCAGGAACCUUGCUCUGCUUGGGUCAUUGCCAUCACCCGCACGGGAGAAAAACUGGAAGCGCGCCUCAAUUGUUACCUCUACUACUACUGCUUUCCCUUUUUCAAUUCCGAGUCCACUACUCUAGCUCUAUUAAUUAGUCCGUGGGGGGCGAUCCACCUUGUGUGCCGAUUCUUCCCUUGCGGUGUCAGCGUGGAUUCCACCAGGAGUCUGAAGUAGGUGGCGCACGACGGCCGUCCUGUUCAGUGGACAAAACUUCCACCAGUUUUAAUGCAGGGAGCUGGUUUCUGCCCUGCUUGUACUGCGGAGUUACUGCAAUGGUUCCACCUUUCUUCUUGUCUGUUGGGGGUAGUUGGAAAAUUUUUGCCGAUGCUGCUACUGCUUGUACCGUGCACUAGGCCUUGUGCACUGGUAGUUAAGUUAGCUUAGAUGAACAGCUAGUUAGAAAUUAUGUUGGUUAGAUUAUCUCCCUGAUCUUACUUUCCAUUCUCUCAGUGAAAUAUUAUAUCACUAGUACUUUAAAAAGAGCAAUCGUGUUUCCCCUGCAAAUAAAAAAAAUAGAAGCGCAAUUGUGUUUAAAGAUAUUUCGAAAGAAGUGGCCAUCCUUCAUAAUCUUUAACUCCUGUCCUUAUAAAAAAGAAAAUCCACAGCUUAUGCAAGAGCUGUUUGUGCACAUAUGUUAAAAUAAAAGUAGCUAUCCCUAUUUCCUGGCAGCCUGCUGUUUCAGAAAAUUUCAACUGGAGUAUUGCAGCCUAUAUGUUAUCCACUGAGGGUGGUUCUAACACGACAACUACAUUUGCCUUUGCAAUUCCAAUUUGGCACUUAAGCAUUUCUCUGCAUUGCAUGCUUGUGGUGUGUCAUACUUUUAUCUAAUCAAAUGGCAUGCUGUCUGACUUCUGUUUCACACUUGUUGCCAGGAGUGGAUUUUAAAAUCAAGUUCCUUACAGUUGGUGGAAAGAAACUAAAGUUGACAAUAUGGGAUACCGGUAAGCAUGUAUCUCGAUUAUGCAACAUAUCAUUUGGUAUUUCUUAUUAUAUGUUGCUGAUGGGAAUACACGAUGCUAGAAAGCUGUUUUGCAUACAGUUUGGUAUCUGCAUCAGAACUUGUUGAACAUUCCACCCUUUGUGGCUACAUAGUUCUGUUCAUACUCCUUUUACAAUUCCACCCUUCUCUGCUCUCAUUACUGUUAGUGGUUUGAGAAUCAAGGUUUGCUUUUCAGCUAAUAUAUUUGGAUUCUUUCUUCGUACCUGUCCUUGCAUCAUGGCUAUUGGGGUUUCUUAUUCACAGAUUAUAGCUGCACCUUGCUGCUUUGUGCCUAAAAUAUCUGGCUACUUUCGCCAUGUUAGCCCUUACACCCCCAAAAUCAUUGCCACUCUAGGUUCCAUCAAUUAAAAGUUCUGUUGUAGCCCCACUCACUACUUUGUUCUAAAGUAGCUCAGUGGUUCACCAUGACCAUGUUACCUGUCAACUGCUUGAACUUGAAGGCUUCUGAGUUAUAUAUCUAUUACCACUUUAACAGCAUGAAUUAUGUUAUGGUGCUUUCUGAUAAUUCAAGAUUCUGAAAACUUAUGUUCCAUACUUCCAUUGCUUUGCAGCUGGCCAGGAGAGGUUUAGGACAAUUACUAGUUCUUACUACAGAGGUGCUCAGGGAAUUAUUCUAGGUAACAUAAUAUUUUUUCUGCCAGUAGACUGCUAAAAUAUAUUGUCACAUCACACUAGUAACAUUUUUGUCACCCUGACGUCAUACCACCGAAAUAUGCUGUAGAACCGUGACAAAAAAAAAAUGAGCUCACCAUAAGGUCGGGCAUCUGAUGUUGUUAUAUCUUAGCAAAUGUUAAAUGUUGAGGGUUUUACAUGUAGCACCAAUGAGUUCCUUAUGGUUUCCUUAUGUCAAUGAUAUAUCUUCCCUUGAUAGUGUACAAUAGUUAUAGAUUACCGUGUAUCAAUCCACCAGAUUCGUUGGUACAGGGAUGUGUGAUGUAUCCCUUUCACGGCAGUAAAAAUCACCUCCAUGUUUUGUAAAUAAUGUUCAGCAUAUGUAUCCAUGCACAACUUUCCAGGGAAGCAUAUCUUGUCUGUUGCAAUUAAAAGACAUAUCAUAUUUGUCAUUUUUCAUCAUGUUAUGAAUUGGAUCUCUGCCUGAACUUUGGAUGACACUUCCAAAUGAUUGCGUGCCUAUGGACCAUUUAGUUGUUGCAUUUAUGUAAUCUGAAUGUCUGGGCUAGGCAGAGGAUCCAUCAAUACAUUUUGAUCAAUUUUGUGGUGAAUAGUCUAGAGAAUUUUCAGGUGUUUCGUCCAUAUUUGCAUUUAUGGACUCUGAAUAAUUGCACCUUUGUUUUCUUGGUGCGUGUGGUGUCAGCCUGGGUGGGGCUGUUCGGUUUUGCCUUUGUACUUUAAUGAAAUGACACGCAGCUCCUGCGUAGUUCGAUAAAAAAUAAUAAUGAUUGUGCCUAGGUUGAUUGCUUGGUUAUCAUAAUGACUUCUAGCAGAAAAUUUGCCUAUAGAAUUUCUCUCAGUCCGGUCCUUCAUCUUGUUCUUUUCAUGCUUCAAACUUAUUCAUGGUCUAAUGACUUUGUAUUUUAUCCUAGUAUAUGAUGUCACGAAGAGAGAGAGUUUCUCAAACUUGGCUGAUGUGUGGACUAAGGAAAUAGAAGCAAACUCAACGAACAAAGACUGCAUAAAAAUGCUUGUUGGGAACAAAGUUGACAAGGUACCAUCUCUGCCAGAAACUUGAUUGUUAUUUGGUUUUGUGGAAAUAUUGUGAUCUAAUCUAAGAAUAUCUUAAAACCUUUCAUUGGUACAAGUUAAUUGUAGUGGUAUCUAUACAUCCUUUACUGUUUUAAUCCUUUUUACCCCCUAACAUUUGAAGUUCUAGAAAGCAAAACUGAGAAUAAUUCAGUUCUUAGGUUUUUAUUUUGUUGGCCUCAUCUUGCAGGAUGAUGAAAGAAUGGUCACAAGAGAAGAAGGCCUUGCAUUUGCAGAAGAAUCUGGAUGUCUAUUUCUCGAGAGCAGUGCAAAAACACGAGAAAAUGUUGAGAAAUGUUUUGAAGAACUUGCACUGAAGGUAUGCUUGUAGAAAGAUAUUAGGCACUAUAACCUUAUCGGCUUAGAUCCCUUCUUUCUGAGGGAUUUUAAAGCACCCUAUAACGUGCACAUAAAUAUGAACUUCAGGCUUGGCCAAUAUCCUGGUCCUGCCAUAUGGGCCCCCCAAAUUGGCUCUAUCCUGGCCCUGCCAUAUUGAAUUGAAUGCAUGCAUUGCCAAUGUUCCCAUGUUCACUUCAUACUUCAUAGCACCAUUCACACGGAAGCUAGAGAGAUUUGUGGGGUCUGAUUAAACUAGCAAUUUAAAUUAGAGUAAAAAACCCUAUUUCUCUAGAGUUAACUGUCACAUACUUACAUAUGAUUCUUUCUGCAUGCUGAUGCUUUACUCAAUGACACCCUUGGUGAGGUCUAAAGACAGCUAACAAAAGUGCAAAAUAUACCUUCAUGUUAUGGCUAGCUGAAUUCACUAUGGGAAACAUGAUGGUGUUUGUUCUUCAGUUUAGAUGGAAUAGUGCAGAUGGCUUUUCUUCCAGCUGAAAACCUAUUGUACGCAUUGCAUGAACUAACUCAUGAUCUUUCUAUUACCAUGCAGAUUCUCGAGGUGCCGAGUCUCCUGGAGGAAGGGUCAUCUUCGGUUGUCAAGAGGAACAUCCUCAAACAGAAGCAGGAAAGUCAUGCAAAGCACGGUAAUGGAUGCUGUCACUAGACGAGCCAAUCUACUCGGCACGUUUGGUCGUCUUCGUGUGAGCUGCCCUUAUGUUCUGCUGUAAAUGAUUGUAUCUACAUGGUCUGUGAGUAAAAAGGGGGUUAAAGAAUCAGCUUGUGGGGGUUUUGGGGUAGUGAUUAUAAUUGAUUUGUACAAAGGACAUGCGGCCUCUUUUCGGUUGUUAUUCAAUUUUUUUCUCGUCUCCAAGUUUAGCAGUUUUGUUGCCCUUGAAAUGGAAUCAGCUGUCCUUUUUUUCCUCCCUUUCUCUCCUUUCUUUCCAUUUUUGUACUAUAGUAGUAUAAGGUGUUAAAGAUAUGCUUCCCUCUUUGUUUUCCUCUCUAUCUGUCAUGGCCCAAGAGAAGCCCAAGGCUGUCAAGCCCAUUUGCCGAGUCACAGCUCAUGAGAAGCUCAAUGCCAAUUACCUCCAUUUUUAUUUGUUUUUGUUUGUAAGGCGCACGUAUAUAUUAAAGUAAAAUGCAUGACACAUCAUCGAACUUGCACCAGAUUUUUAAUUGGAUCCCUUAACUUGAAUACAGUACACAUAACAUCAUUAAACUUGUAACAAGGUUCAUCGAGGUCCUUUCUUUCAACACACAAGGACUAGUCAUCCUAUGUAAGCAUGUUUAGUCCACCGUGGCAAGGAAUAGCGUAAGACAUUUAUAUGGAGGCAUAUGGGCAAAACAUUUGGCCUGUAAGAGGCAUGAAAGAAUGGAAGAAAACAAAUAGAAGAGAAGUGAAGCCUCCUAAAUAUGAUCUCUAAGAUGGGAGAAGGGUAAAGAAUAGAAGAAAGCAUCCAUUGGAGCUUGAGAAUGGAAUCAAGCUAAGCAAGCAUGGUGUGCAGAUUCCAUGCCAUCGCCUCCAGCUGGAAGAUCGAUCAGACGUGGCAAAAAAAAAAACCUCCGGUAAACAAGGAUGCAAGUUUGAUGUUGCGGUGUGUACCAUUUGGAAAAAAAAACCUUUGAUGAACAAGGAUGCAAGUUUGAUGAUGCAGUGUGUACCAUUUACAAGUUAAAUGAUUUGAGUGAUUUGAGUGAGAAUUUGGUGCAAGUUUAAUGGCUUACAGUGCAUUUUACUCUGUAUAUUAAGAUUCAAACUUUAUUGUCUUUAUCUAUAAUUUAGCCAAUAUUUUUUUAUUUUUAUAAUAUAAAUUUGAAAUUGUUUGAUUCGUAAGCAAAUGUACUCUCCAAUGAUUAUAAGUUUAUAACCACAAAUAGUAUAAGAUAAGAUAAAUGAAUAAUCAAAGUGUCAUUUGAGAGAUCGUGUAUCACGUCUUAAUGUAGCCUAGCAUCUCAAGUUCUAUUCCUAAAACCCUCUCUGACAAAUCUGUAUGUAACAUCCUUGCAUAUCAAUAUAAUUGUUCAGGCUAGUUCCUUGCCUGCCGUAGCACCCCUAAAAAAAGUACUGCAUAACAUAAUAUUUGGACUAAAGAUUCAGAAGCAGAAUGAGGAAAAGAAAGAGCAUCUUCCCCCCUCAGGUUACUUGAGGUCCCCUUCGAUUUUCUCUUGCUCAUGUCUGGAGUUGAUCUUGGUCAUGGCUACAGGGCCUAGUAACGUCGACGGUCGGUGGCAGCACAAGACGAAGAAAGGUAAGUUUAGCUUUAUGGUCUAAAGAUGACUAAAUUUACUAGCAAGUUAUUUUGUGGCAAAGUGAACUGCUAAGAACGUCUUGCUCCUUAAAUCCCUGAUGGGAUGGAGGAAGAAGACGAAGGUCCUGGACGCAGAGUCCACAACACUGUAUGCUUCGGUACCAAUCCCUCCAAGCGCCAUGAACAUUUUGCAAUUGCCACCACAGAAGAUGAGCUGCUACAUGACAUCUGUGACUAUGUUGCGGUUGCCUUCAGGAAGGACAUCAAGACAUACAGCAUCCACCCCCACGGUAUUGGCAUCUGUGAGUUCGUGCAUCCUUGGGAUCCAGAUAUCCUGGUCCGCAGUAGUCCCCAUCAGAUUGGCCCUCACAUUGUGUCAUUUGUCAAGCAUGAUGAAGCUUUGAACUGUAGGAGAUCACCUUUUACUCGCACUAGUUGGGUCAUGCUCCUAGGAUACCCCCUUGAUUACAAGGAACAUCACUUUCUGCAGCAGGAAUGCACUCCUUUUGGCAAGCUUAUACAUUGGCAUGCAAUGGAUCACAGUUGACCAAGAAUUCUGAUCAAAGUUUUGAUCGAUGACAUACUAGAAGUCCCUCGCAGCUUGAAACUUAAGAGUGGUAGAUUCCUGGAUAGGGAAGGAUGUUCAUGGACUAUACAUGUCUAUAUCCUAAAUGUUCUCCAUGUAGAUUAAAUUCUAGAAGAUAAAAUCCCUCCCCCUCCAAAUAAUGGCAACCCACAUCCUCACGUGGGACUUGUCCUCCCAGGGGAACCUGGAUAGGUGGCACAGUGGGCUGACAACCACAUGAACCAAGAAAGAUUUAGUCUGAACCAAAAUCAUAUUGAUGCUCACCAGGCUGAAGGUAACCAACGCUCAGGAAUUAGUUAUGUUAAUCAAGAUGAAGAAGCCUUCUUUGUUGUUGGUGCUGGUGCAGAUAGGGAAGUUGAGGUACCAGACAUGCAAGAAAAUGUAAUCAUGGCCCUUGCAGCACAGCCAUGAAUUCAGAAUCAAGAAAUUAUUGCUCAGGUAGAUGUUGAGGCCAAUAAUGAGCAGCUGGCAAACAUGGAAGCUUCUAUGAAUACUGAUCAAGCCCCUGAAGAACAAGCUCCUGGAGAUGAUGUCCAACUUACAAUGCCUCAGGAGAAUCAGAACCAACCAAUUGCACAACAAGCUUCAAAAAAGCAGAAUGACCAAGCUGUCACUAAUCAAACAAGAGAAGACAAUGGAUAUGAAGAACAACAGACCUCUCAAGACCAAAACAUACAUGGACAGAACAUCAAUUUGACUCACACAGCUCAUAAGUAGCAUGAAAGAAAGACCCAGAUGAUAGAAGCAAUAAUUAGUAACCUUAAAGCAAAUCAUGAACACCUACUCCCAGUAAAUUCAUGAGGCAGUAGGUGGCACUGGAUCCAUCACUAUCCCUAUGUCUACUAUCAGACUCAACCUUUCUAGUCUAGAGAUUGAAAGUGUUCAUCUUGUUGCCCCAGAGACAUCGACCCAAACUAACAGCAAGGCUCUGAUUGAGAACUCAUAGACUAAAACAAUUACAACACAAGAAAGGCAGUUUGCAAAUGUAUAUACUAGAAGGAGGUACAAAGCUAGGAUGGGGCUUGCUCCUCAUCUAAUUGAAACUGAGAACACAAGCACGUAAAGAAAAACAGUUGAGCCAAGUAUCAGAGUGCUCAGCAGCCAAAACAAGAGCAACAAACAAGUCAAGCAUAAAACUCCACUCACUGUUGAUAAGCUGAGAAGAAGUGCCAGAGUGCAUGAAAGAACCAAAGGAAGUAGGGCCCCCUCUGUUGAACCUGAAGGCGCCAAAAGAAAGAGAAGAAAGUUUCUUCGGGAUGUAACCAGCCACUCACAAUUGACUAGUAAACUCCUGCUCCCUGCUAACUCCCAUGGAAUUGAAUUCCCAGUCUGGACACUCUUGAGAAAUCUGAAGACAUAUACCCAGAAAUCCCAAUCAUGAAAAUACAAAAUGUGGCAAUUAAUAGGUGCAGUAUCUCUUCUUCGGAAGUAACGGCUGAACUCCUUCUGAAGGCCAGCAAGGAAGAUGAAGCUGGCAAAGCUGGAGAGGAGGCAAACAUCAACCUGGUGGCCCGAGGAUAGUCAACCCAACAUGCAACUAUCUCUCAAGGAAUGCCUUGAGUUUCUUUUUUAUUGUAUUGAUGCCACUUUCUGUUAUUUGGAGUCAGAUUAUGGCAACUAGAUUUGGUGGUUAUCUUGUAUGCCCGAUGGAGGGCCUUUAUCUGGAUGUUAUGACCAUUAUUGGUUCAUUGACACCUUUAAUGUUUGGUUAAGCUAUGCUAUUGAUUAUCUGUGGUGGUUCUGUGUUCGACCCAUUUCAUCGCCUAAUAAUGUUUCUCUUUCAAUUGCACUUUACUUUGAAUUGAGUGGAUCUCAAAGAAAAUUCAGCAAGCUGUGGGGGAGGGGCCAACUCUCUUGGAGACAACAGCCCUCAGAAGACUUUCAAAGGUAUUGUGAUGGAUAGUACAAACUCAAAGAGAAGUUGGAAUAUUCUGAACUGGAACAUCAGAGGACUAAACAGGGAAGAUAAGUGUGAUGCGGUGAAGGCAAAAAUUGAAUAAAGUGCAUGUUCAAUUUAUUGUCUCCUGGAAACAAAGAAGGAAAGCUUUGAUCACUCCUUUAUUAGGAAGGUGGCACCUAAGAGAUUCAAUAUGUUUGCUUUCUCUGCCUUAAUUGCUGCUUCAGGGGGAAUUCUUGUAGGACAGAACAAUGCUCCCUUUGAAGAAGAAGUGUUGGUUUGUCUACGUUUUGCUUUAACUAGUAGAUUCACCUCCAAACUUGAUGGCAAUUCAUGGACUCUAAUUACAAUUUAUGGACCUUGCUAAGGUCCAGAGAGGGAUGAAUUUGUAGUAUGGCUAAAUGAUCUAUCAAUACCUGAAAACGAAAACUGGAUGAUCAUAGGGGACUUUAACUUCUACAGAGAUCUCAGUGACAGAAACAAACCAGCGGGGGAUAUGAAUGCCAUUUUUCUGUUCAAUUCUAUAAUCAGCAACCUGGGCACUCAAGAAAUCCCUCUAAAGGGUAGGAAGUUUACAUUAAGAAAUAUGCAAGAAGACCCCUUGCUGGAACAAUUAGACUGGUGUUUCACCUCGGCAAACUGGAUCAACACAUAUCCCAGUACUUUGAUGCUACCUCUGGCCAAACCUACCUCUGACCACACUUCCUAUGUGGUUCAGAUUGGAACAUAUAUACCAAGAGCCACAAUAUUCAGAUUUGAAAACUUCUGGUUAGAUGUGCCUGGCUUUAUGGAUCUUGUCCAAAAUAUUUGGAAUACAAUGGAUCUUGUCCAAAAUGUUUGGAAUACAAAUGUUAGAGCUACUAACAGUGCAACAAGAAUAACUGCCAAACUGAAGCUACUUAGAAGAGCACUUAAGAAAUGGAGCAAGACACUUCGACAGAUAUCAAAUCCUAUCAAGGAGUGCAACACCAUACUUGAUGUCCUGGACAAACUUGAGGAACAAAGACUUCUAUUUCAACAGGAGAGAAACUUCAAAAGAAUACUAAAGGAACAUAUCAUUAAGCUCCUCAAAUUUUAGAAAGAAUACUGGAGGAAAAGAUACACUGUUAGAUGGACCAAAUUUGGUGACGAAAGUACAAAUUUUUUUCAUGCUGCAGCAACAGAAAGGUACAGACAGAACACAAUAACCAAUCUAGAUACAGCUGAUGGAAGAUAAAUCACAUAUCACUUUGAAAAGGCAUCUCUUCUUUGGGAAGUUUACAAGAGCAGAAUGGGAACUACUUCUAAUCCUACUAUGCACUUGGACCUCGAGCAUCUCAUCCCUAGACACGAUAACCUAUAGCAAUUAUCUGAUCCUGUUGUAAGAGAGAAAAUUAACAAGGUAGUGGCUCAAAUGCCCACGAAUAAAUCCCCAGGGCCAGAUGGCUUCAAUGGACUAUUCUUCAAGAGAUGCUGGCAUAUAAUCAGGGAGGAUAUUUACAGUCUCUGUGAGGAGUUCUUUGCAAGACAGCUGGAUUUAAAAGUCAUCAACAACUCCUUCAUUACCUUGAUACCGAAAUGUAACAACCCAACAACAUCCAAUGGCUUCAAGCCAAUCUCUCUUAUGAAUUCAGUUCUGAAGCUUCUAACCAAGAUCAUGGCAGAUAGAAUACAGCAAAGGAUUAUCCCUAUUGUCCACCGGAAUCAAAAUGGAUUUAUAAAGAAUAAAACAAUACAAGAUUAUCUUGCAUGGUCAUUUGAAUACAUCCAUCAAUGCCAACAAUUAAAGAGAGAAAUCAUUAUCCUAAAAUUAGACUUUGAGAAUGUUGGAGGUAUGCCCUAGAGGCAAUCAUAGAGAUGAUGAUAUUCCAUUUGUAUCCAUGAUUUGUAUGUUGUGUUCAUUGAAUAUCCAUUGAAGGCUACUUGAAUUGAUUUACAAUUAUGUGAAUUGUAUGUGAAACUCUUUACUUGUAUGGUUAUUCUAAAGUUGUCCCUAGUUGGAGUUCAUGUGAGGACACACAUGAAUAUUAGACUAGCACAUGUAUUAGUUGAUGACUAUGUUUCACAAGUCAUGGACAUGGAGAUGUUGAACUAAUAAUGUGGACACAUGUGGAGACAUGUGCUAGGACUGACCCAAUACGAGAAGUAGUUCUCUCUUUGAACAACAUAUACGCUUUGUCCUUAGACCUGAGACUGUCGCAUGUAUUCUAGAUGUGGAUCGACCUACUUAGGGGCUAUCAAACGCUACGCCGUAACAGGGUAGUUAUAAAGGUAGCUUUCGGGUUUGUCAAGAAGCAUGCUAUGAGACAUGGUCAGUCAAGAUGGGAUUUGCCCCUCUCUGAUUGAGAGUGAUAUCUCUGGGCCCCUCGAGUGAUCGGAUCCAAAAUGCAUGGCCAUGCUACGUACGGUUAAGAGUUAACCUACAAAGGGAUUCCGAAUCACAGGAUCGAGAAAGAGCGGUCGGCUUGAAGCUAGACCAAAUAUCGUGAGGCAAAGGGAAUAGCAUGUAUAUCAUGUUGUGAUGGUUCAUCUGAUAUGAUCUUCGUAUGCGUAUAGGAGUUGGCACGUCUUGCUAGAGGCCGCUACCGACUAUUGGGCCGAGCAGGAGUACUCGGGCCAUGUCUAUACGUAUCCGAACCCAUAGGGUCACACACUUAAGGGGCUGGAAGCCCAAUUCGGAUCUGAUCCGAGUUGGAUUAGGUUUAGAAGUACUAAUGGGCCUCGGAUCCAGAGGCCCAUCAAGAACCUCUAUAAAUAGAGGGGUGGGGGCGCCCUAGGGUUUACACCUUUUGGCGAAACACACCUGCCAUGCCUCCCACGUCCUCGCCUGUUGCAACUCGCGGAUCUAGCAGUCCGGCUUGCGACGCUUCCUUCCUGCACGUGUGGAUACCUUGGAGGUGUUGCGCCUGCAGCACUUGGACGAGCCACCGACGAGCCGCCGACGAGCCACGACGAGCCGACGACGAGCCGCGGUACCGGAGGCGAUCUUGCUGCACGUGGACGAGCUGCUGAGGAGCUGCUGGACGUGAUCGACUACGUACGACUACGUGAUCGUCUUCACUGCAUCGACGCAUAUCUACAUCUUCCGCACCAGUAGUGCGUCAAGUGGUAAUCCCGUGAUCCUUAUACGGCAGUUCUUCCUGGUUUUACGCGGUAGAAAUUUUGAUUUGCGCUAGUGUAGCCUACCUCGUAUCCCAACAGAGAAGGCAUUUGACACUAUUGAGCAUAACAUCAUACUUAGUAUGAUGAAGAAUCUUGGUUUCACUGACAUGUGGUGUGAUUGGGUUAGAAGGAUCCUAGAUUCUGGGACAUCUUCAAUUCUUCUUAAUGGCAUCCCAGGAAAAGAAUUUCACUGCAAGGAGAGUUAGACAAGGUGACCCUCUCUUACCGCUCCUUUUUGUUGUUGCAGCUGAUCUAUUGCAAUACAUUAUUAACAAGGCUCACACUCAGAACAGUUUCAGCCUCCCAAUCCCCUACACAACCACAAAUAAUUUCCUAGUUCUACAAUAUGCAGAUGACAAUGUCCUAAUCAUGAAAGCCUCAGAAAAAUAGUUGUUCUGUCUCAAAUGAAUUCUAGAAGGCUUUUCACAAUCCACUGGAUUAAGAGUGAACUACCACAAAUCCCUUCUAGUUCCUUUAAACCUCAACACAGAGAAGGCUUCCAGCUUGACCAGAGUCUAUAUGUAAUAUUGGCAACCUCCCCUUUACAUACCUUGGGCUACCUUUGGACACCACCAAACCAAAAGUCAUAGAUCUUGCCCCCCUAAUGAAUCAAAUGGAAAGGAGAAUCUCUGCCACUGCUACUUUUCUUGGAUUAGCUGGCAAAGUCAAACUAACCAAGUCAGUUUUCUCUGCUCUACCAAUAUACACAAUGUGCACUUUAAAGAUCCCCUUAGGGGCAAUUGACAAUAUGGACAAAGCUCAAAGGGAUGACUUUUGGAGAGGAUCAAACGUGAAUGAAAAGAAGAAGUCUUUGGUAGCAUGGCCAAAAUGUUUUAAGCCAAAGUCCAAAGGAGGAUUGGGAGUGAUUGACUUGAGAAGGCAAAACAAUGCAUUGCUAAUGAAAUACCUUGAUAAAUUUUAUAAUAAGAAAGAUGUGCACUAGGUAAAGUUGAUAUGGGAGACAUAUUAUACAAAUGGAGAAGUCCCACAUGCAGCGGGUGAAGUAGGGUCCUUCUGGUGGAAAGACAUUUUAAAACUUUGUGAUCAGUUCAGAGGCGUAGCAACAUAUAUAGUUGGAGAUGGUACAUCAGUCCUCUUCUCGUUGAAUGUUUGGAAUGACAGAUUAUUGAAGAAUUCCUUCCCAAGAUUGUUUAGCUUUGCAAAGAGCAUGCACAUAUUAGUAGCACAUUUCCUGCAAAACAAUUCCAUAGAAGAGCAAUUUCAUAUACCACUAUCUAAAGAAGUCUUCGAAGAAUAUCAAGAGUUACAAGGUAUCAUCCAGGGAAUUCAAGUUCAAGGGGAAACUCGUGGCUUCUAGCAUUAUAUAUGGGGAUCUAGCACCUAUUCCUCCCAACAAUUCUAUAAUUUCCGACUCAAAAACAUAAGGCCACCCUCCAACAAACUUCGAGUCUUCUCAAGGCUUCUCUUGAUGGACAGACUGAAUAAAAAAACCUUCUGAAACGAAAAAACUUCAUUAUCAAUGGUGGCAACUAUAACUACGUACUGUGCAGCAACAAUGUGGAGGAAACUACCUAUCACCUAUUCUUCACCUGCUGCUUCAGUUCAGCCUGCUGGAACCAAAUUGGCCUUCAAUGACACCUCAACUUCCAUUCUACAUGAUGUUGAAGACUGCAAAAGACAUGUUCCAUAACCCUUUCUUCAUGGAGAUCUUUAUCAUAGCUGCUUGGCACAUCUAGAAGCAAAGGAAUGCUCUAACUUUUCAAGGAAAACGUCCAUCCCUAAAUUCUUGGGUCUCGCACUUUGUGGAUGAGGCCAGAUUCCAAGUACACAUAAUUAAAGAAAGUACCAAACAAUCUUUCCUCAACUGGGUUGAUCUAAUUUAGCAUAGCUUGUUUAGCUCUUUUUAUGAAGUUUUUUCCCUUUUAGGGUACUCUGGUACCCCUUUUUGCUAUGUCUUGUACAGUUUAUUCUAUUUUUUAAUAUAUCUUUUCAUAGUGGGGGCCUCCUCCGCUGUAUAGUUUUUUUUAAAAAAUACUAUGCUGGUGGUAUCUGAUGCAGCAAAUUGUGGCUAACUCUGGUAAAAUUUGGCUUUUAAGUUUUAUCUAAACACGGCGGGUGCGACACGUGACAUAUGAGCUGUGUUUUUAAAUUGCUCGAUUAAUCACGAUUUAUCAAUGAUUAAUCGAGAAAUCGGUCUCUGCACAUCGACUAGGGAAUUCGAUUCGAUUAUAUUACCUUGUCAACUGGUACACAUCGACUAGGGAAUUCGAUUCGAUUAUAUUACCUUGUCAACUGGUCAAGCGACUAAUCAUCAAUUAGUCAUGACUAAUCUGGCAUGUCUAGUCAAGCGACUAGCUCUGGAGUAUAUGACUUGGGCUUCAGCUCAGUAGUAAGCCUACUACCUAGCCCACAUCUGAUCGGUUCUUUACCUAGCCCGAUUUGCAGCUGCCACCAUUCGCUGAGCACGAGUGGGAGAGGAAAAAUUUCUAGUUUAUUCAGCUCUGUGCUCUACUUGAUUGUUUGUAUUUUCCAAUUUUCACUUGCAGAUAUAGGUACUCUGCUUUAAAGUGGUAACUGACUAAGCUAUGGACUGCCGUGUCCCAUUUUUAACUUGCACAUGCAGGUAUUUUGCUCAAAGUGGCAACCUACUAGGCCGUAGAUUGCCCUGGAUAGGGUGGUUGACUUGCUCGAUCUAACGAUUUGAAAACAUUGCAUAUGAGCCGCAGCUACACGACUAGUGUCAAAAGAAGCAGAGGUGCAGCUGCUACGGGGGCACGCUAAAAGACUUAGAGCUCGUUUGGCAGGGCUGUGGUUGUGGCUGAAAUGGCUCCGGCUGCAGCUUCUCUGGUGGAGCAGCUUCUCCGUUGGAACUAAAGCCGUUCUAUAAAAUGUUUGGCAAAACGGUUUCUCCUGUAUUCUUAGGAAUGGAUGUGAGAGAUCAAAUAUCCUAUAUACCCUUAGCUAUGUGGAUUGUUUGAAUUGAUAAAUUGGAUGAUUAGCAUUAGUUCAAAAUUUGAGUUCAUUAGAAAUUUAAAAAAUAAAUAUGAGAGUGAAAUGUGCUAUCUACCCAUAAAGCUACUACGUGAGAGGUCUUUUUUUUUUCUUCCUUAUUUUUCUUUUUUACUUUUUUCUCCAUUCAUUUUUCUUUUUUUCCUCCCUUCCUUUAUCUACUCCCUGGCACUGGCAACCUUAUCUUCUUCGGUCCUGCUCGUCCAUCUCUUUCAUCCGCAUUGCUUCCUCCGCUCCCUGGCGCGCCGCACUACUUCAAGUCCGUCGUGCCGCGCUGCUUCGCCCCCAUGCUGCGCGCGCUCCUCUGCUGCUCCAACCCCGCCAUAGCGCUAUCUCGCCGCCCUGCGUCAUGGGCUCCCUGCUGCUCUAACGCCACCGCAUUGCUGCAACCCCAGGGCUGCCAGGCCGCGCGCUAAGGUCAGCCAUGGCAGGUCCAGCGGGCAGCGGGCCGCAGAGUUCUCAGUUAGUUCAAUCUUGCACAGAAUGGCAUUUUGAGUGUAAUUUUCAUGUAUUUAAGGAGUACAUGCUACUGGAGCAGCUGCGGGAGGGGAAGAAGCCGCGAGGAGCCGGUUUUUUGACUCUUGCGCUGGUUUUUUUGGCUCUCGCUCCGUCUCUUAGACUCCAGUCAGCGGGAUUUCAAGGCUUUUUUCCCGAAGCCGUUUGCGCUACUGCUGUUUGGUAAGACUUCGGGUGAAGCUGGUGGAGAAGCCCCUCCUGAAGCCCUACCAAACAGGACCUUAGUGACCGGGAUUAUAUUAAUGUUAUUAGCAAAUUGCUAUUAUGAGGUGUAAGUGUCAUGAAACCACCAGAGGAAUAAAAUAAGCAAGGGAGGUGUCUGAGAAGAGGACAAGGUGAUGGGAAAAAGAUGCCCACGAGGCCUUGUGGCAAGUCCACACCAGAAUUUAGCACAACUGCACAAGGCUCCGUCCCUUCACUCAAAUAGUGAAGGGUUUGCAUGCGCCUAUCCUUUUUUUUUCCUUGAUUUUAACACAAGUUUAUUCGAUAAGAGAAAGUUCAGUGACAUGACAAGAGAGUUCGAAAUCAAACAAUAUUAAUUCUUCCACGUAGUCUCUCAGUUGGUCAUACGGUUAAACCACUUGUGACGUCUAAAAACGUAGUCCCCCAUUUUCAUUCUUUUGCCCUAGUACCGGUAGAUGAGAUCGUUAAAUGCCCCAGGAUUCUUCGCAUAGUGAUCGAUCUCAGCCUGCAGGGAAAAAAUUGCAGAACGGUGAGAUAAUCCAAAUAUUUUAGUACAAAGAAGAACGUCAACAAAAGAGAUAUUAAACAAUGCUGACCUUCCGUAUAGCUAUAGCGGCCGUGACAAGUUUAUCACCAAUUAAUUCGUGCAGAACCUUAUCUGCAGCAAGCGAUUCUACAGAUUCCUGUAGGUUCUGCGGUAGCCUUUUGAGUUUGGAAGCGUAAUCUGCAGGGUUUGAUUCUGCAAACAACGCGAGCACCGAGCAGAACAGUUAUCAGACCAAAGGUUCAAAAAUGAUUGUAAGGAUUAUUUCCAAAUGCUACGGCCGAAACGCAAAUUUUGGGAACUAUGGCCAACAGGAAAAAAAAAGGUCAAGCAGUAAAAGAUAUUCAUACCAAUUGGUUCUGGCAACUUAUGGCCUCUCCUUAGCCCAUCAAUGCCGGCAGCAACGAUGGCAGCAAGACCCAAGUGCGGAUUUGCGCAUGCAUCGAAGGAUUUGAUCUCAAAGUUGCUGACUAAAUCAAGAGGCACACCAGGUGGGCAUGCAGUUCUCAAUGGAGCCUCCCUAUUCUCUUUCCCCCAGCAUAGAUAAGCUCCACUCCAUGUAUUUGGCUGAAUCCGGUCGUAGCUAUAGACAAAAGAUCAAGUGAACACCAUUUUUAAAUAGUGGCACAUAACAUACUGAUUUGAAAUGGUUGCAUAGGUAUCCUCGUAUUUUGUUAGACAAAUAGCAAAUCAAGCCUUCUAAAUAUAUGAAUUGAUAUCUUGUAAAUACCAUGCAGCUUAUGUGAGAAACAAACACUGUAUCCAAAUUUCAAUUGUAUUACAGGACAUUCUCAGAAGCUUUAACAGAAGACAUUACCUAUUUGGGUGAGGAGCAGUAAAUGCCAAGAUUGAUGAAAGAUGAUGAUAAACUCCAGCAAGGAACUUUUCUCCAGUAUUUGACAUUCCAUGGAAAUUAUCUGUACUUGACCCCAUGAAAACAUUCUGGUCGUUCUCCCACAAACUCAGAUGCACAUGAGAACCAGAUCCAAUAUCAUUCAAAUCAGGCCUGGAAAGUGUUGAGGCAAAAGGAAGGAUCAGUUACCAGAUACACUAGUUUCAAAUCAAAUAUAGCUCAUUUCAGCUCCAUUCAAGUACCAAAGAGUUUCAACUCUCUAUUGCCUGGCCAAUCUGUUCACAUAUAUUGCUUCUGGCACAAAACAAUGUAAACAGAUAAAACCAUUCUUCAGAGCUGGUAUAUAAAUCGUUUAUGUUUAAUGUACUGAAUUGUUAGUUUAUUUUCACUUGAUAGUUUUUCACCUAUGAUCACAUAAUAUUGAAGAAAGACGAAGCUGGUCUCCAUCAUCUAACUACAAUAUGUUGAAACUUGAAAUGGGAAGACCUAUCUGCAGAGAGACAGAAAGAGAUGGGAAACAAUAUCUAUGUCUAUCCAAUAACUUACUUUGGAAGAAAUGUUGCUAGCAGUCCAUGCUUUCGAGCAACUGAUUUAAUAGUCUCACGGGCAUAUAUCAGUUUGUCAGCCGCAAGAGUGCACAAGAUAUACUUUAAGGCUAUCUCAAACUGGCCUUUUCCAGCUUCAGCAUGCAACUGUUUUUUUUUUUGAGGGGAGCGGUAGAGGUAAAAGUAGAGGUAAAAGAAACAAUCAAUAAAUAUUUGCAAAUGAACCAAUCAGUUUGAUAUCAAAUGUUGCACAGGAGAAAGGUGAAAGCAGUUACCUGCUCAACCACAAUGUUUGAAGCUUUGAGAGAAGAAUAUAUUUCUUGUAAUAUAGAUGAUGCGCCAUCAAAUGCUGAAGUUGAGCAGUAAUUGGUAUUAUCAUAUGGAACCCAUUGCUCAACUCCAUCACUGCAAAGCUUUUCUAUUAGGAUCCCAUAAAGAAUAAAAAGUUUCCUUGAAACAUUUUCAAUACGAUAUAGUCAGGGAAAGCUACCUUACUAAUUUUCUGCGAAGAAAAAAUUCAUUUUCAAAACCUGCCUUCAUUGUCUGAAAGGAUAAAUAACUAAGCAUAAAUAACAAAACAAAUGCACUUUAGAAUCUAUGAGACCAAAACGGCCUUUGAAAAUAUACACAGGAGGAAGUGUGGAUUUAUUCUUACCACAUUGAACUCAUCUAACAGAACUUUUGUGACUUUCCUUAAGGCAUUUCUAGGACAGUAUUCCCAGGCUUCUCCGGGCCUUAUGUGCAUGUCAGCCAUCACCAUUUCCUCAUGCAUUGACCUUGCGGCAAGAGUAAUCCAUUAACAUAAUUAGAAGUGAAUCUUCUAGAUACAGUUUAUAUUAGCAUAGUUAAGCCAAUUUUAAUAGAUAAUUAGAUAUACUAUUUAAAAGCAUAAAAAUGAUGUCUUAAUGCAUUCGACAAAUUUAUACCACCUAAACAAGUAAAUAGAACACUCUUAGGUCUUAGCCAUGAUGUAUCAAUUGAUUUUUAGAGUUCUAACACAAUUUAUAUUUUUAUUUCAUAAGAAUAUAGUAGGAGAUUACUAGUGAAGGAAUGAGGCUACCACAAUAUUUUAAGAAAUGACACCCCUUGUUCUUGGAGCAAUUAUCAAUAUAAAUAACAUAGAAACUUCAAACGUAUAAAAAUGAGAGAGACAAAUCAGUAGAAUGUAAAUCAGCAUAUCAUGAUGUGGAAACAAGACUAAGCACAAGACAAGAAAACAAAUAAGAACGAAAACCAGUGUCACAAUGGAUGUAUCAACUGAAAAAAGUACUGAAGAAGGAAAAGGAACUGGUCCUAGAUCAAUUGGUGGAUAGUGUGGGUGUGCCCACCCUGCCACCCAGUUUCAAGUCCUCUUCGACACAAAUUUGGGUGCCUUUUUCUUCAUGUUUACAAUUACAAUGCCACCUUGUUCCUCCUAGAUUGGUGGAGUUCAUAUGAAAAAAGUACUGAAUACUGAAGAAAAUGCUCAAAGCAAUUGGAAAUACCAUGGGAGCCUCAGAAGUGUUGGCAUAUCUGGUACAAGUCUGAUCUCGCCUACACCAGUAAGGUUAGUCCCAUCUGCUGGGCCAUCACAAAAUGAAGUCAUUCCCAUUGCAGCAAAAGUCAGACCAACACCCUUAUUCCUUGUAACCUCAUAAAACCGUCCAGCUGGAACAACCUGAAAGCACAAUUCUUUGAAAAGUGAAUAAAACAUGAUGUUAACAAUCGUGUAUAACUGUAUAUAGAGCAGAUGACAGUGCAAGACAAAAACUAACUAAUAACCUUUUUUCAUGAGGAAAAACUAACAGAAAACUUUUGAUCCAUGAACCUAGAGAAGUGAUCAACACUUCACAUCAUGCUAAUUAUGGUAGUGGUCAGAAAAUGUAUGCUUACACGGCAUCUAUGUUGACCAGAAGCAUCGCUCCAGAUAAUUCGGACGAAGAGAAUGUCUUCCUCAACAGAAGACAAUGACACACUGUCACCAGCUAUGGCAGUUUCAUGAUUAAUUGACCCAUUGGCAACAUUUAACUUAUAUAGAUGCAAUGCAUUUCUUCUAAAUAUGUCCUCAACUGCUUCGAUCGCUUCCUGAAUGCUAAGGUCUCCGUCUUCACAUGCGGCAGCUAGGACACGAUAAACAACAUCCCGCGACCUAUUUGCACCUGUAAAUCAGUGCAUUAUGAAUUAACAAAUGAAACAUUAAACCAAUAUAUUGAAUAGAUAUCAAAUAUUUAGGUACGCCUGUCCAUGGUUUUAAGUACAAGCCAUAGCAAUCAUAUCUAUAAAUCAAAAUUUCAUGAACCAAAAGUUUCCUUUUGAAUCCAUUGUUAUUAGUCGAAAAGUAUUUUUGUUCUAUCCUAAUGUAAGCUACCAUUCGCAAACCUUGGUUUCUGAGAAGAUGUUUAACAUUUGUACUGAUAUGCAGAGCUCCUCAAUCAUCUUAUGAACUAGUUAAGAUGAUGAAUGUACCUAGAUAAUAUGUCUCUGGAAAAGCAUAUCCAUCUGUACUGAACAUGACCUGAAAAUGAUUGUAAAUUAGAAAUACCAAGCAAAGUGUACCUUCAAAAUUGGAAAUGAUUAGGUUGCUCGUAUCUAAAUGGCAAUGGCACAGUCACAUUCAUCAGGAUAUUUCUAGAAUGAAUCAAAAUGGAGUUAUGUUACUAAGGUGGUAUGAUACUGAAUAUUACAGAAAAGGACUAACAUCAGUAGAUUAGAUGUUGGUAGCACAAAGCAGGGGCGAAGCUCAAUAUAGUUUGUGGGGGUGCAAAUGCACCCACGCCAAAAACAAAAGUAAGAGCUAACCAUCUUGUUUUACCCCAUAUGCACCCCCCUAAGUCCAACUCUAUGCACCCCCCAAGGCCACAGCCGUGUCAGCGUGUUCUCUGGUCUGUGAGCGAGGCAGCGUUCAGCUCAGCAUGCAUGAUUGUGUACAUAUCAAUUAUCCAUCAAUCCUCCACAUCUAGAGCUUUCCUAUUCACUCCCUUUGCUCGUUUCCCACCCACGCUGAAGCCAUCACGAUACCUCCAGAUGGGCCACUCGGCUGCUCAAAUGUUGUUUGUUUUGGAAGUUCUAAACUACUAAAUUAUAUUGUCUCUUUAUCUUUUUCCAGUAAAAGCAUCCAAUUUUGCAAAAUAAUGUUUCAUUGUAUGACCACUGGUUUGGCAGGAGCCAAAAAAUGGGUUGCUUAUCUAGUGAGUAGUAGCUUUUGUUGAUCUGUAGACUGUAGGGUUCCAGGUUCUUCUGUUGUAGUAAAUACCGUGCAAUAUAGUGUUAGGCCGCAUGUUAUAUGUUGAAAAAAUAACUGCUGGUUUUAGAUUCAAUUUUUGGAUUCUUGCGAAAAAGAAUUGGAGAAUUGUAACGGAAUUAUUUCACUUAAGAGAGAAUAAAUUUGAAGGGAGUAUUUGAAUUUAUGUUAUCGCUUUGACAUUUGUAUGUAUUAAUCUAAUAAUGAUAGAUAAAUGGAUGAAACCGUUAAGCUUAAGCCUAACAGCUAGUUUAUAGUACAAUAAAGUAUGAGAUGUCAGAUGCUUUGUUCACCUAAUGUCCAACAUCUUCUAUUCGUGAUUUUUUAUCUUCUCCUCUUCCUUUACAUUAACAAUGUCAUUAGUGACUUUUGAAUACUUUUAGUGCUAUUUACUACCUCCAUAUCGAAUUAUUUGUCGCUGCUAGACUUUUAGUCACGAUGUUUAACCAUUCAUCUUAUUCAAAAAAUUAUGUAAGUACCAUUUUAUUUUGUGUGCGACUUAUUUUAUCAUCAAAGGUACUUUAACAAUAACUUAUCUUUUCAUAUAUUUACAAUAAAUUUUUGAAUAAGAUGGUAUUGCGAAGAAAAUUCAACAGCAACAAAUAUUCGAUAUGGAGAAAGUGCAUUGGUAUCACUGUACUAGUGGUAAAGUGGCGCACCCCCCUCAAUUUUGCUCUAGCUUCGCCACUGGCACAAAGUAGGAACAAGAUACUUCCAAACCUGUAAUGUCUAAGAUGGAAGCUCUACUAAGCAGCACUAAAUUUCUAUAGACAGCUCCAAGAAUAGAUAUCCUGAAGAACCACUAUUGGCAGGAACCAGUUGUGUACUAGUACUAGCAGUCAGAAGAUAUGAUACUUCUAGGUAUCUUAAAACGCUUCAGUUAUAUGUCUAUAAUCAAAGAGUUGCCACGUUCAAAAGCAGUUACAACUCAGAGUAACAAGGCCUGCCUAUAACAUGCUGGGGUCACUUCUGGGGAAAAUAAGAUGGCCCCGUAUAUCUAACUGGAGGUAUCUACUUGAACUCUGGAACCUUUCUUGUUACUGCAGCAUUUUCUGUGUUUAUUAUGCUUCAUCGUGCUAGUCUAGAGAGAGUACACAGUAAAAUACAAACAAUAAUAUACAUAGUGAUGGGAGGAUAAAACUCAGUUCCGUCUUUCAGCAAUACUGGAUCAUGAGGUAAAAUGUGGAUUUAUUUCAGCACUUGAACUUUUCUAGAAACUGUUAUCCACAAGAUGGACGCUUUACCUUCUUUAUGGGAGCUAGCUCCAGAAGCUCUUUCAGUGAUGAUGUCAUUCCUUGAACACUAAGUUUUGGAAACGCCAAGCCAAAAUCAAGAUAGACCUGAUUUUGGUUUGUUUCAGAUGGUUAGAAUCCAUGAAAACAAAAUAUAUAAAUAUGAUAAAAUGACGAUCUACCUGGGAGUAAACAGAUGCAAGGUAAGAAGCUUCCUUUGAAAAGGGAUAAGAAGCAUGUAAAAGAACAAGUUGGCACUUAGCAAAUCUUUUAUCCUCAAGAACAUCACGCAAAUGUAGUGGGUUGCACUUUCGCAAGUCUAGGUCCUUGUCUCCAAAACUGAAAAUUAUAUAGUAGUUUAUUUAUUUGAGAUAUUGAAACAACUCAAACAUAACAUUGCUUUCAUACUAGGGGUAAAACUGUCGUCACCCUGUGUGAAUCUGCACUGGUAGGUUAAACGACACAGCAAUUUCAAGACUGCAGACAAAUAGAUAGUCAAUCAGGUUCUUGUUUGUAAUCCGAAUUGGCCUAGGACCUGAAAAAAUAUGGAGGAAUGUAAUUGUAAAAUUUGAGCUUGUUUUAGGCGUUUUAUUUCCAUGACAACAAAAAAGUGCUUACCUGUUAGCUCCUUUCGAAGACCAUCCUCUGCAUCAGUCUUGCUAACAUUGGGAUUGAUCUCUAAGCCACUUCUAUAUGCAGCUAUGCUUUUCAAUGCAACAAUUUGGUUACACACUGUGAGCAAUAAGUUAAGGAUAUUCAUAAAUCAAAAGGAACUAAAGGAAAAUAAUCCAAUUAAUCUGAAAAGGUAUCAGCCUAUCAGGAAUCUGAAGGAUAUGACUUAAGCUUAGUUACAUAGCUUUCAAUGAAUGAGUCCAGUGUCCAGCUUGAUCCACUGAAUGACUCCUGAAAAUGGUAAUUGCGCAAAUUGACCAAACAUUGCUCAUUAAAAAGUAACCAAACCGGUAGCAGAUCUUAUAUUUCAGGAUCAAAAUGUCAUCUAGGUCACUAGUUCUGUAACGAAUGGUUGUGCUAUUUUGUUGAAGUAAAUUCUUCCCAAGCAAAUUGCCAUUUAGUAUAAAAAAACAUAUGAAUAGAAAGAAACGAAGUAACACCUUGUUGAGAGAGAAACAAGAGAAAUACACUCACGUCGUUGAUGAUUGUUUCUGCUAGCCUUUCUGUUCUCAGAACUCUGCUAACUAUAGGAGCAAAUGCCUUGUGGGACUCCAAAUCUAGCAUUUUGUCAAAUGGUAUGCCAUCAUCUAUAAGGAUGGCAGAUAUGUUGGCAGCUUGGAAGCAUUUCGAGGCAAUCGAUUUCAAUCCUUCAGCUUUCCUGAACUCCUCUACCUUCUCAAGUGAGGCUUCGCAGUUGUACAAUGCAGCAAUGUCCCUAAGGCUUCUCUGCAUUUCAUGAGGUUCCAAGGAUGUAAUGAGCUCUGAAAGUGCACUCUUAGGUGCCUUGUAACAAGAAGUCAACAAAUACAGAGUACAUCCACGCGCCACCUGCCCUGAAUUAGAUUCCCCCACGCUCUAUAGAAAGAAAAGUCUAAUAAAAACACGUUACAAAGUGCUACAGUAGUCCCAUGGCAAGGACAAAGACAAUUGGGGCAGAGAACCAGGGACAAAAGUGGCUGAGAAAAUGCCCCACAUCACAUGAGUCCACGGACACUUGGCUGGGCAUUCCAGGCCAGCACCAAGAAGUUUGCUAAAGAGACCAAGCAGCUCGUCAAGCGCCUAGCAAGCAAUACUGUAAUAGUACCGUAGCAGCAACAGCACACCGUUCCGGUUCCCAAGUACGCAGCCAUCACUCCGCAACCCAUGCCAUGACCAUGAUCAUCCAUCACUCACAAGUCACAAGGGUAAAGAGAGUAGAGACCGGGGAAAGGCCUACUCCUACACUGCUACCACGACACCACGUCCCAGUGUCCCACUGCGAAACGGCAAGGCAGACCAUAAAAGCUGCUGCCAUCUGCAUGGCGCUGCUGAAAGCGACGAGUUCAGCAUAUUGUGCUAAAAUCGACUGCCAGUGGUAAAUUUUUUUUUUGAAAGAUUCCAGUAGUAAAUUUGCAUACCUGUAUCUGUGCCCUGAAACAGCACGCCUACCGUCCUACCCUCCCAUACAACCUCUCCCUCCGUCCCAAACUACUCCUUCCAUCCCAAAUUGUAUCCCAAAUUGUAGAUCGUUUUAUCUUUUAUAAAUUUAUAGAUGUUUGUAUAAUUUGAAAUGGAGGGAGUAGAUUAAUAGAAGCAUUUCUCAGUUAGCAUUAGUAUGAACAAACGCAUCCAAAUCAUGACUGCUCGACACCUUUCCGAAUCAUUUUUGGAGUCGAUCCAAAGUACUAGUGACAUUCAGGAGAGAUUUCAGAAACUGCCAGAACUAAUAAAAUCUGCUAGCAACGAACACCGUAACAGACACAAUCUAGCACGGUAGCCCAGCCUACAGGCUCCCAUUAAUGCCACGAUUUCGAAUAUGCUGCUACCGGGUACCAUCAGUACGGAGGUAGUAGCGAGCUGCAAGAGCGUCGGGAGCGGCCAAAGCAGAGGACCGGAGAGCGGCCGGGAGGAGUCCCGGCGGCGGUCGCGGGAAGCGAUGGGCGCGGAGGCGUACCUUGAAGGAGAGGGAGUGGGGCGCGAGCGCGAGCGCGUCGCCGUCGGCCUCGCAGAAGCAGCGGGCGAAGGGGAACGCGGAGCCGAGCUCCACCAGGUUGUGCGCGUGCGCGUCCACCGCCGCCACCUCCUCCGUCGCGCGCCGCAGCGCCGCGUACCUAGCCUCCAUCUCUCUCCCUCCCCUCCUCAGUCCCGCGGUCUCCGCCGCUUCUCUUGCUCAAAAGGAUCUUCGCAGGCAGCGCGGCGGAGACAGCCUCGUUUGACCGAAGCGGUGGCUGCGUCUGAGGAUGGAGGUGAGCGCGGCACGGGGCGCCGAGUUUUUAUAUAGGCGGUGGCGCAGGAACGGGACGGGGGUGGAGUGGAGGACUGGAGGAGGCGGAGAGCACGGGGCCGCGCGCGCGCGCACGCCCCCAACUACCGCUGCGCUGACUCCCCGCUGCGGCUGCGGCUGCGGCUGCUCGGCCGGCGCCUGGUGCUAGUGCGAGCGGUGGGAGCGACUGGGUACUGGAGAGUGGAGAGUGGGGUAGCGGGGCCGGGCCGGGCCGGCGCGGUAACGGGCAGUGUGUGGCUGACAUGUGGGCCAGCGCGCCGGAGUUGAGGAAACGGUGCCGGGAAGGAGGCGGACAGAUUUUACUGAUCUGCUCCCACAAACGAAGAUGAUCUCACGAGUGACGCAAUCUUAGGCCCGUUUGGAUCUGAUUAUGAUUCUGAAAAUCUAGAUUCUGGAUGGAUUUUCAAAAUUUGGAUUCUAGACAAAAUCUGAAUGAACUUAGAUUUCAAAAUCUGAUUCCAAAAUCAACCCUUGAGGAAUUUUGGAAUUCACAGAAUCCAAAAUCUAGAUUCUGAAAUUUGAGCUAGAAUCUAACCUAGGGCCAUGUUUAGUUACUCCCAACUCCCAACUUUGACACUAUGCAAAAAGAAGAUUCCCCAUCACAUCAAACUUGCGGUACAUGCAUGGAGUACUAAAUGUAGAUGAAAUUAAAAACUAAUUGCACAGUUUUGUUGUACUUUGCGAGACGAAUCUUUUGAGCCUAAUUAGUCAAUAUUUGGACAAUAAUUCACAAAUACAAACGAAACGCUACAGUGUGCUACAGUGCUGUAACAGUAAUUUGGCACCUCCCAAAUUCCCCAACUAAACACGGCCCUAUUUGGAGGAGCUUCGGAUUUUGGAUUUUGGCCCGUUUGGAUCCAAUUAUGGAUUAUGAAAAUCUAGGUUUUGGAUGGAUUUUCAAAAUCUGGAUUCUGGACAAAAUUUGAAUGGACUUGUUUGAAUUCCUAGAUUUCAAAAUCUGAUUCCAAAAUCAACCCUUGAGGACCUUUUGGAAUUCACAGAAUCCAAAAUUUAGAUUCUAAAAUUUGAGCUAGAAUCUAACCUAUUUGGAGGAGCUCCGGAUUCUGGAUUUUGGAUUAUGAAAAUCCAACCUGGUCCAAACGGGCCCUUAGGCUAAUUGGCUGGAGAAGCCACGGUCAACAGCUUAUCCAUAUUUUUUUUUGGGGUGAGGGCAACAGCUUAUCAGGAUUUGACGUUCUUAGUACUAGUAGAGGUACCGCUAGUACUACCACAGAUUUGGAAAGCUGGAAUCAGUCCGAACAAGCUCACCGAGAUGGUGUUCACAAAUCACACACGCUGGAACGAGCUCGGCCUGGUCUCCAACGAAAAGGAAAUGGAAAAGAAACAUAAAACUUCGCUUCAGGGUAAUGCCAAGUUUAGUCUAGGCCGCCGGCCAUCGGAUCAUCCACGUUGUGCUCCAAACACCUAUCUUAGUUCGGAGCCGAUACCGACUGUUAGAGUGUAUUUGGUAGUUAUUAGUUAUAGAUAUAUGUAUCGUAGAUUGCUAUAUGUAUCCGGAAAAAUCUUACUUAUACUCAAUAUAUAGCUCCUCAAUGCAAUCCAAUCCAAUCCAUUAUUUAUACACACCACGUACCACCCUCAAGGCCUGUCUCAGUCUAAGGCCCUGUUUGUUUCCGCUUAUAAGCGGCUUAUCGGUGGAAAUAAGUGAGAAUCCCGCCAAACGCUUUGCUUAUUUCCACCGAUUCUCGUUUAUGUGGUAAGCCGCUUCAGAAAUUUGAACUACGAGAAGCGAAAAGCGAGAAGCGAGAAAAUCUUCGCUUAGAUUAUAAUCCAAACGUGGCUAGGAGAAGCGUAUACAAACAGGACCUAAUCUCAACACCUAUGCACGCAAGGACCGCAUGCAAGGUGCUGAGGGAUUGGCACGGACGGCGCUCUAAUAAAGCCCAUAUUCAAGACCACCCGGGCGGCGAGUUGUUCGCGCGUCGCGGUCCGCAACUCCGCGUUUGCACAAAUGUCCGGGCUGAUGGAUAUGCCGUGCCAGAUAUCGCUACGGGGACGUACUCGGGCAGAUCGACCACAAUUCCACGAGACGAGACCACAAGCUGGCAGCCCGCUUCUUCGUUCAACAGCUAAUAAUUGAGCGAUGAACAGUCGGAGACGGCGAGCGAACGAACGGGUACAGGGCGUGGGUCGACUAAACUUGGCACUACAACCACCUCUGAUCAGUUCUUUUCUUUCCAGUUGUUCAGCAACAAGCAUGUGUACGUGGCCAGCAGAGGCGCACUUGAUCGGCAGCCAAAUAUAGUUUGGUAGUAUUAUGGAAACACUUUGGCUCCUCGUGACAAAUGACAAGUCGAACGGCCGAUCGACGCCGGUGGGGCGAAAGCGGGGAAAAUAAUAGAGGCCAUUUCCAUCUUACAGCAUGCCAUGACACAUGCACGCCGCUUUUUUUUUUUUUUGGCUGGUGUGGUGCGCGCCUUGUUGGAUCUCUCCGAUUUUUGCCGAUGGGUCUCGAGCGGCAGUGAUGAUGGAGGCCCGCGAUCGCCACGGGCCGGGGCCGCCCUUUUGAGGUCCUCCCACCCGGGUCCGGGCAAAGCAGUUAUCAGUUGAUGCUCGAUGGCUCGAUGCUGUUGAGCAAGUCUUGCGCGUGUCUUCCGCUGAGCUCGUCGUUCGCGCAGGAGCGGGUCUAGCUGCGCCACGCACGGGCUGCUCGUUCCUAGUCCUUUAAAUUCAGCAAUGUACAUCGGCAGUCAGUUUCGUAGCCCGAUGUAUUAUGAUAGGAGCAAGCCCAUUGACACAAUGUCUCAUCUCAUCCGAUCCAGGAGUGUGCAAGGACAAGGCCAGAUCGACGUCGAGUUCACUGGAACAAGUGACGUUUUCACCGGGCACACUUGGGCAGUAGCCCACAUGAAGUUUCAAGACCUUCGUUCUGAGAUCGGCCUCAACAACAUCAAGUAAGCGCAGCAAGUUUUACAGGGUGUUAGUUGAACAGGUAUCGUGCGCAUUCAUUUCCUUUUUCUUAGCUGCGUUUAAUUCCGGGACCAAAGUUAGUCCGCUAAAAAUUAGCCUCCGAUGAUCCAAACAAAGGACCUAGAGGUGGAUUGAAAAUUAGCUACCCCACCUCACUAAUUUUAGUUCACUAAUGAUGCGAAUUUCAGACUACGAAUGCCAAAAGAUACAUAGGCUAAAAAUUAGCCCUAGCUCCAAAUAGGAUGGAGCUAAUUUUAUCCGGCUAAAGUUUAGAUGUUGUUGACGUCAAAUUUUGACACGUAUGGAAUCAACGUCAAAUAGGGGAAAGGAUUAGCCGAUGCAGCAAAUUGAAAAAGUCACGAUUGGGAAUCGGCCGAUUGGUGCUACAGUUGGAGAUCGGCCGAUUGACGCUGCAGUGUUUUGGCGGACGGAGUUGGUAGGAAUCAGCCGAUUAAGAGGCUGAAGCAAUUGGGCUAAUAUGGGCUUAAAGUGAGUCGCAAAAGAGAAGAUGAGGGGGGAUUGGCCCGCAGGAGUGCAACAACCAACUCCGAUACGAGUUGUACUUGUAAAUAUUUGUUUUCAUUUAAAAUUAGAGAUAGAUCCUAGUCGGUUAAGAAGUUGGUUGUAACAGGCUAUAAAUAGCCACCUUUAAAGAUCUGUAAACAACACAUCAAAUCAAUACAACAAUCUACUAUUUCUUCACACUUUACUUUCAAGUCGGUGACUUUGCCAAUACUUUUCUUCUUUCACGAGUUCAUACGGGUUGGCAGGACUGCAUCGACACGAUCUCCGACCGAUUCUGUAAGUUCCGUUUAUCGAGUAAUAUCUAAGCUUUAACUUCGGGCACGUCGCUGUCGUUUCGUUUAGAUUUAUUCACCAAUUAUCGAUAUUUACUAAAAUUCUAGGUUUUACCUGUUGUUCUAGUUUUAUCACCAGUUACCCAGCUUGAGAUUAGAACUUUCAGCUUAUUUAUCGUUAUUUUCAUCUAUUACUUUUGCGUAGCCGAUUAGAUCUAUUUCAAGUAUUGCUCCUGUAGCGUUAUUUAGUUUACUCCAGUAGUUUUGUUCAUAACCGCUGCCUAGUUGUCGGCUGUACCAUAGCCGAUUACCUUGUUAUAGCAAAUCGGCCGAUUCGCUGAUACGCUUCCUCAAGAUUGGAACCUUAGCCAAUCACAACUCCUGGAAUUUGACACGUUUUCUCCUUGCCAAUCAACAGGUCAGAUUGGCUGGCACGCCGCGCGAACCGCACCAGGGCGAUUACCCGAACAGGAGCUAAGCAGAUUCUCCCGGGUCGUGUGUCCGACGCUGAGAGUCAAUCGGCUGACUUUUAGCGCCAACAGAUGUCUAAACAAAUAUCUAAACUUUAGCUGGCUAGAAUUAGCCCGGUCUUAUUUGGAUAUCGGACUAAUUUUUAGCCCACUACUGAUCAAAGUCCAUUCUACCAUUGAUGGAACCUGCUGCUACGCCUCGUUCUUUAGUGGAUGGCAUUUUAGCAUCUACGGUCUGAAAUUAGCCUUCAUUAGCUAAGUUUAGAGGGCUAAUAGACUAAAGUAUAGUCGGAAGGUUGGCUAAUUUUGAGCUCAUAUUUAGCCCUACUAUUUGGAUCAUCAUGUGCUAAUUUUUAUUUGACUAAAAUUUAACCUCUAGAUCAAACGGGCCCUUCGUCUAUCCAAACGGGCCAUUAGUUGAGUGCAAAGCCAUUUCUAACGGUCGCGUGCAUCUUCAGUUCAACGCGGGCGUCGUUUGCGCCUUGCACAGGGUGUUCGUUCAUGGCGUAAGCCCAGGAGGCCAUAAAGCCCACGAUCUGUACACAUGAUCCUUUAAAUUCAGCAAUACAAGGUCAGAAAACGUUGCCGCUUCACCGCACCAAACCAGAUAUUCCUCGUAUUUGCGUGCAUUCACAGCUCAGAUUUGAACCCAAUGUACGCGAGCACGACGGACACCUGGUGUUGGGCUGCGAAUUUGCGAUGGGGCAGCGUCCUGCGACUUGUAUCCCUGAAUUGAAAGGACUGUACAUUCAGGCUGUGGCCUGUGUGGCCUCCUACACUCGCACCACGAACAAACUUCCACAACUACGAGUCUACUCCGUACGACCCAUUUCCCACGCGAUCGACGCACGCGGCGAGCUGAAGACCACCGAAAGACGUAACCACGCGCUUGAGAGCUAUGACUAAACAUAGGGCUAAAGCCAAAAAAAAAAGAAAGAAAAGAAAAGGCGAAACGAAUGCUCACAGGACUUGUUCAACAUCCGUGCCAUAUGAAGCGCUCAUACCCAUCCCGCUCGCCCAUGCUGCAUCAUCAUCACAGGCCCAAAACCACAAACACAAAAUCAAGGGGCAGUGACUUACUUCUGAAAGGAGCAAUGCAAAUGCAGGGUUUUGGCAUGGAAGGGGAUGUGAAGUAUGCCAACCUUACUGUCAAUCUGUCAUGUUGCUAAAAUUUCUGAUGAACAUGCAACGAGUGUGUGCAGCUACACAGAUUGGUUUUCAACAGAAACGGCAUAUACUUAGGAGGGCAUAUACUUAGGAGGUGUUUGGAUACACCCCACUAAAGUUUAGCACAUGUCACAUCGGAUGUUUGGAUGCUAAUUAGGAGUAUUAAACAUAAGCUAAUUACAAAACUAAUUGCACAGAUGGAGUCUAAUUCGUGAGAUGAAUCUAUUAAGCCUAAUUAGUCCAUGAUUUGACAAUGUGAUGCUACGGUAACCAUUUGCUAAUGAUGGAUUAAUUAGGCUUAAUAGAUUCGUCUCGCGAAUUAGCAUAGGGUUCUGCAAUUAGUUUUAUAAUUAGCUCAUGUUUAGUCCUGCUAAUUAGCAUCCGAAUAUCCGAUGUGACCCUGCUAAAGUUUAGCACCUAGUAUCCAAACACACAGAAGUGGAUAUGACCACUCCAUUACUGACUACUGCAGCUCAAGGCUUAAGUAUCCCAUUAAUACAACAGACUGGACAUCAUAAGUUUCUACUUUCCAGCUCAGGGAAGAAAGGUUUCCUGGUUUUCAGCACACUCAAGAAAUGCAUACAAAUUCAAUCACCUAAAAUGGAAUGGUAAGGAAUACAUGAACUUAAUUGGUCUUAGUCACAUUAUCUAAAAAGAACUGGUGUUAAUCCUCACAUGGCUCUUGAGUAACUGAUAUUCGCGUUACAUUGAUUGAACUUGAUUUAUGUUGAAGACAACAAAUGCCAAAACACAUAACAUUUAGAGAAUGGAAAGUAACAUGAUCGUGAUGACAAAACACAGCUGCAAUAAGGUAUCAUCAACUAGUUGUUUCAGCACAAGUCCAACUCAUUAACUCAACAGACUAGCGGAAUCGGGACACACAAAAUCAGCAAUAGAGGUAUAAAAAUGCUGAUACCGGCUGCCUAACUACAACAAGGCACAGGUGCGAGUCACCAACGACAAUGUUGGAAAUAUUCUGUAAAGCAUAAUAUUUCAGAAUAUCAGCUCACCUUAGUCCACCAGAUGUUCAGGAGGAAGCUGGGCAUGUAUUCACGCCAUCCUUGCAAUCGCGUGUAAGGUCGUUGAAUGUCUCCAGAUGCCUCUUGCCCCUCAGAAACACCUCAGUGUCAACUGCAACCCUCAUGUACCCAUCAAACUCCACCGGUUUACCGUUGCUCAGCUCCUUAGUUUCAGUAAACCACUCACUAUUCUCAUCCCACAAGUCCUUGAAAUCAUCCAGGAAGCGUGUCUUAUACUUUUCCUUAAGUGGGUCAAAGAACGAUUUGUCAGGCUCAUCGGUAGCGAUGUACAAAUACCGGCCAGCACCAACUUUGUCAUUAAGUGUCAUAAGCAGACUGUCCGGAGAGGUAUCUCUAUCAAGGUUUGGCCAUAGUUGUGUGUUCUGUGCUUUCUCCCCUCUCACAACAUGGACUGAAUCAAAGUCCCAGUUCAUCCGCGAGGAAAUGGCAGAUACGAUCUCCAUCAAGCGUCGGGACUUCCACAGGAAAUGCCAUGGGCGCUUGAUCACUCCCUCAGUCUCACCCUCACACACACGUGACCAGUAGUUAUCCGGCUCAACAUUCCCAAACUUCCUCAUGAUCAGUGUGUCCUUCACAUCACGGAGUUUCAUCGGGGUCAUCCUGAUGUCUUCUGUGUAGAAGUUCUUCAGCCUAUCUUUCUUCUGCCACUUCCCCCAAUCUUGCCAGAACUGACUCUGAUCGAUCACUGAUGCUGAUUCCUUCAAGUGCUCAAAAUCAAAGUAGAGCCUAAAAUCUUUCUCUUCAUCCUUGCCACUUGAAGUAUACCGUGCAUUGAGGCAGACAUUGAGGUCCAUUACAAGUGUCCGGUUCAAGAACUGCGCCUCACCAAGAGCACACAAGAACCCCCAAAUGAAGUGGUUCAUGCUCUUGCACCUCUCGCCUCCACCCAUGUAAAUGAGGUACCUUCCGCGGCUGAAUUCGGACUCAGAGGCAACCACUGGCAAGCUAUCAUUGACAGCCUCACCAACAACAAACACCGGCUCGGCCACAGCCCCGGCAGCCUCAUUGUUGGCAGCAUUCUCGUCCAGCCUAACCUGUGUCUUGGCCGGCACAAAGUCGGUCACUGGUGCCUCACGCUUUCCCUUCUUCCCCUUCUUUCCCUUGCGCUUGCCACUGCGCUUGGCACCUACACCCGAGUGGUAUUCGCCCACGCUGUCGACGACGAGUGUGCAGGUGUUGACGUCGCGGGUGAGCGCGAAGCGGCGGUAGUCCUUGUAGUACGUGGUCCGGCCGGUGCCGAUGGCGUCGGCGGCGGGGCGGAAGCGCCAGGCGAGGUCGCACUCCAUGGGGCUCCCCGGCACCGCCACGGGACGGCCGAAGCGGUAGAAGUGGAGGUCGGGGAACCGCUCGAUGGCUGUGCGCAUGAGCAGGUUGAAGAGGUCCCUGUCCCCCGUGCAGUCCACGGGCGCCUCCGUGUCGCAGGAAACCGCCUCCGCGACGGGAUUCUCCUCCUCCGCCGUCGCCGCCGCAGCACCGUCGCCCGUGCCGACGUCAGUGUCGACGGUGACGGCCCGCUCGGCCUCGGGCUCCGUCCUCGUGGCAUCGGGCUCCGCCUUCUCGGCCUCGGACGCGACAUCGGAGAGCUUGAUGAAGGGCACGGCCUCCUUGAUUUCAGCUUCGACGCCGGCCUCGGCGGCGGCUCCGGAGGAGGAGGCGUUGAAAUCCUCCCCGGUGCGGAGCACGGAGUCGUCGGUGAGCAAGGUGGAGGUGGAGGUGGAGGAGGUGAGGAAGUCGGUGAGCUGGUGCGAGGACGGGUGGAGGAGCGGGUCGUCGGGGCUGUGGACCGCCGCGAGGAGCGUGAAGGCGAGCACGGCCGCCACGAAGAGCGCGAAGAGGAGGUUGCCCCCCGACCGCAGCGCGGCGCGCAGGUCGAGCGACCCGCCGCGCCACCGCGGCCCCGACAGCCCCGCCGCCCGCCCCAGCAUUUUAGCGCGGAUCUGGGCUCGGAUUGGGAGUGGAGUGGGAAUGGGAGUGAGGAGGGGAAGGGGAUCUGGCUGGAGAUGGGGGGCGGAGCGCCGACAAGGCGGCAGGACGCGAGCGAGGAGGGGGCCCUGGAGUGGAGGUUACUCCUCAGUUUCUUUUACUGGGGACGCGGCCGGCGGUAGCUUAACGGAGUGGCAAGUUUGCAACGUGCAUUCUUGCAAGAUGUGUGUCGGCCGGCCGGCCUGUUGACUGUGUUGUAGUGGGCUGCUGACCUGGGACCAGGCCUGUUCUUCGGGGUCCGCGAGCUGCGUUGGGCCUGCCUGGAUCGUCUUCUUUGGGAAGCCGUCGAAGUGGGUUGCAUUCAUGUCACCCCGAGAAGAGAGGAGGUGGGCUGCAGACAGCAGACGGGCCGGCAGCCAUCCAUACCCUCCCUCCGCCGUCUAGUUCUAGCGGAGAAAUUGACUAUUUCUACGUAAGAAAAGUCGUGUGCAAUGAAAAAUGCAAACACGAUUUGGGGAGGGUUUUUUUUAUGGAAUCAAGGAAGAAUUAUCUACUCCAUCCGACCGGGCAACCCAUAUGCAAAAUAGAAAAGAGCAAUCUGAAUUUUGAAUUUUUACUUCAUUUCCAAAAUUUUUGGAUUUGGUAAUGGAGUUAUAUGGAAAUCCAAUUGUUGGGGCUGGCUUGGUUAACAUUGCCCUCCACCGCCUACCGGCUCCGACGCUGUUACAGUACUCCGCCAGUGCCGCUAAUCUCAUUGGAGCUUCACGCACCCGCCACCGUCCCUGCCCGCCAUUAUCUGUUGCAGACCAGACACAUAAAUUUGAACAACUGCUUCAAGAUACUACUCUUUUUCGUAACUAUCUAAUUUCAAAAUAUAUCUUUCAAAAACAAAAUUGAAACAUAUUUUAUAUACAGUAAACAUGUGCACAAUUCUGUAAUUCUUGCAUUUCUACUUUGCAUUGUCAUUUCUACUUUUUUUAGUGUUUGUUUAUUAUGUUUGCAAUGUUUAUUUACCGGAGAAUCUUUUUUAACAUAUUUCGUGUUUUUAUUAUAGGUUAAACCAUGCCCUUCCGCUUUAGAUGUCUUCGUCAAGAAAAUACGACAGAGAGAAAUGAUGGACUACGACAAUACGUUGUUGCCAAUUGUGAGCGACCCAAAGAUAGUAUGGACAACCAUAUAUCCAAUGUGUAUGGAUGAGUUAAUAUUCUUACAUUCCUAAUAUUAGUUACGGGUGGACAUUACUGCAAAUAAGCUUUACUAGCUUCUUGAAGUAAAAUAUAAGUUCAAAUUUGAGUGGUCGGUAAAAUAUUGUAGUUGUUUAAUUUUGUUCGAAACGAAUACAGGAGAUUACCUGCCUACGUUGACAGCCAGUGUAUGGAUAUUAUCACGAAGUUUGCGAGCACCAGCGUGAUAGUAAGUAUUUGGUACAACUUUGUAUCACUAUGCUGUUAAGUUAAUUCACAUGUAUGUGUGUACAUACACACAUGUCUAUCUCAGCUUUUUGUUCCACCUCUGCUCUUCAAUCCUUGAUCAAACUAGCCUGUUCGGCAUCUUACAGCAAAGAAAGGACACAACCAUGCCCAUUACAUCAGAAACGUUUUUUAAGUCUCUUGUCAUCCUUCCAGUCAACCUCCACUAGAAAAAUGAUCGCUAACUCUGCUCGAUCUGUUCAGUAUUCGCCAACCGUCCAGCUCCCCUCUUCUGUCUGUACUCUCAUCACGUACGUCAUCACGCGAGGCAGUCUACUUUUGUUUUUUAUUCAGGAUGUUUGGUUCUUUAGUUAAACUAAAGUUACUGUCACAUCAAAUAUUUAGAUACUAAUUAGAAGUAUUAAAUAUAGACUAAUUACAAAACUAAUUGCACAGAAGGAGGCUAAAAUUCACGAUAGGAAUCUAUUAACCUAAUUAGUUCAUAAUUUGACAAUAUGAUGCUACAGUAAAUAUGUGUUAAUCAUGAAUUAAUUAGGCAUAAUAUAUUCGUUUCGCGAAUUAGCCUUCAUCUGUAUAAUUAGCCUUUAAAGAUUUGAUAUGACGUGAACUGACCUCUAAAUAUCCAAACGCCCCUUUAAGCGAUGCGAUCACGUGUCAUUUUUUUUUAAAGAAGCGAUCGCAGCCUCCACACGGACCGAGAAUUCUUGACACUCCAUGCUGCCUCUGACGAGAGCCGUGACGUCCGAGCACCUCCCCAACCUUUGUUGUUUAAACCCAGGGCCGACUCGCAAUUGGAGCACAGUGAAACUCGCGCCCAACACAAGAGGCACACAAACAAAACACAGAGUUCGCCGCCGGACCGCGACGACAUCAGCAAGCCAGUGAGCCGCUAGCCAUGGCCGCAGCGUCCACCUCCACCGCGCCGCUCCCGCUCGACGGCCGCGUCGCGCUCGUCACGGGCGGCUCCCGUGGCAUCGGCCGCGAGGUGUCGUCCCACCUCGCCGCGCUCGGCGCGCGCGUCGUGGUCAACUACGCCUCCAACCCGGCCAAGGCCGACGAGCUCGUCGCGGAGCUCGCAUCGCGGGGCCUCCGCGCCGUGGCCGCCCGCGCGGACGUCUCCGACCCGGACGCCGUGCGCGCGCUCUUCGACCGCGCCGAGGAGGCGUUCGGUUCCCCGCCGCACAUCGUGGUGGCCUGCGCGGGCAUCCUGGACCCCAAGUACCCGGCGCUCGCCGACACCGCCGUCGAGGACUUCGACGCCACGUUCGCGGUGAACACGCGCGGCAAGUUCCUGGUGUGCCGGGAGGCCGCCCGGCGCAUCCCGCCCCACAGCGGCGGGCGCAUCGUGGCGUUCUCGUCGACGACGGUCGCCGCGCUCCCGCCGGGGUACGGGGCGUACGUGGCGAGCAACGCCGCCGUGGAGGCCAUGACGAGGAUCCUGGCCAAGGAGGUGGCAGCGAAGGGGAUCACGGCGAACGUGGUGGCGCCGGGGCCCGUGCGCACGGAGCUGUUCCUGGCGGGCAAGGACGAAGCGUUCAUAGAGAGGGUGGCCAAGAAUUCCAUGGGGCGCAUCGCCGAGACGACGGACAUCGCGCCCGUGGUGGCGUUCCUGGCGAGCGAUGCCUCGUCCUGGGUGAACGGCCAGGUAAUAAGGGUCAACGGCGGCGUCGCGUGAGUGCGCUGGUAUGGCAAGGGUUGGGAAUUGGGAUAUGGCAAAGGGUUCCUAAGAUCCUGCCAUCCUUGUAUGCUGGCGUGUUCACUGUAUGGCAUUUUUUUUGGUCUAGGCUGAGUGCUACAAAAAUAUUCAGCAGUGCCAUGCAUUUCUUAAGAACAUAUGUCCUGUCUGUGACUCUGAGUAACAAAGUUUUUCAUCUCAAGCUCUGAAACCCAGUUCUGAAUUGUACGGUUUAUCUGGAACCCAGUCCAGAUGCAGAGCAGACGAUCUUGCUCACAACAGUCAGGAAAUUAUCUACGCAUGUUAUCAUCAUCAGCGCCUUCAUCGAACACACCAGAUGAGCCUACACGGAAGUCUAGCUGCUUCUGAUGUUUCUGCCGCCGACGUUCGUCGAACUCCUCCCACCCCUCCACCUGUUUGGAAAUCGGAACAUGUGAAAUUGAUGUUAACACUGGAAAAUGUAUCAGAGGUCAGAGCACAAUACCAAACUAGGUGCAGCAAAAUUCUUCUUCUACACACAAGUGCUAUACUUGUCAAAUUGAGAUAAAUACACAAAAACUGCAAGUAGCUACUAUGCCACCAGUACAAAUGAUGGUACAAGGUACACAUUUAGGGUAAUGAUGGCAACAAAGAAUACAUACUACAACAAAGUGUGAAGGAAUAACAUGCACACACACACGGGCAGACAUGACUCUUAAGGAAAUGGUACCUGCCGAAGAAUAUCAUUCGUUAUUUCUGUGCCGUGGAGAUCAAGUGUAAUAAGCUGCACACACUUUUUGAAUAGGGUCGAAGGCAGGGAUGUAAGACCAUUGUUCCUUAGAUGCAAAACCUGUUGGGAAAAGGUAUUUCAUAUAAAAAACAUUACAUGAUGCUCGCUUCAGUGCAACAGUAACAGAAUAUAAGUCAUCACUCAAGCAAAAUGAAAACAAAUCUGUAGCACAACAUAAGUGGAAAAUAAACAUUUCCUUCAACAAAACAAUACAAAAGGCAGAAGAAGCGUGAUAGAGAUGUUACAGCAAAGUAAAAUUAAAUCUAUCCACGCUAAUAGGUGUAAUGAAAUAAUUAUAUCCAAGAGAUUUAACCCAUUCCUGUGGAUGAUAUACUGAGAACAGAUGUUCAAUGACACCACAAAAUGGCAUGCAGAAAUUAUCCACGCCAUCUAGCAUAUCAUGCAUCUUAAGGAGAUGCUACUACCCACUAGACUGAUAACCCUAUACUACUCAGAAUUGGGUUACUAGACUGAUAACUCAUAUUCAUUUAUUGACCAGCAAUGUGAAUGUUGUUGCAGUUGGACAAUGAAUAUGCCGUGGUGUCUUCUAUCAUGUGAACAUUGUUUCAAUCUGACAAUGGGACUUUGCAAUAUUAUUAACUUAAGAUACUGCAUUAGUUACUUCAGCUCUUCAUUUGAGGUUAGUGAUGACAUAUCAUCUUAGAAAGCAAAGGCUUCUUGCAUAUAGCUAAAGUCACACACCUUGAGAUUACCAAGCUUCCCAAAGGCUUCUGGCAGUUCAGUUAAGAGAUUUGAUGACAAGUCAACCUGAAUUCAAGAUUUGGGUGAUAUAUACUGCCAAUGCAAACUCAAAAUAGUUAUGUGUUCAAAAUAGUUUUCUGAAAAACAUAUGAAGCAGAAACAGGUAAUAUAUGAUAGAAAGAACAUACCUCGGUGAGAGAUUCACAAUCUCCUAUAGAUGAAGGCAAUGAAGUUAUCCUGCCAACAAGUGAAAACGAGUCAAAUAUCGCAUUCACCAUAAAGCAUAAGUUUUCCUUCACAAAGUAUUACUAAUGUAGUUCCCCAUAAGAAGCUACAGAAAAAAAUUGGGGACAAAAGAUGUUCUCUUCUCCCUGUACCAACUUUUUUCUAUUUAGAACCAGUCACAACCUACCAGUAUGUGUACAUUAGCUAAGACAUGUGCUAAAAACAAAACCUACCAUGUUUUAUUCCCUUUUUUAUGUGUAAAAAAUGCAUUCUUGGGUUACAUAAAUACAACCAAAAUUGUACUAAAAAUAGAAUGGGCACUAGCAAAAACAGCUGUCAUCAGACUAGUGUCAAAGUCAGGGCACCGAUCUAUCACUCUAUCCAGACGUGGUUAUUUCAAUCCUAAACAUAACUGACAAGCAAUGCCAGUCUCCGAUGAUCACGCAUCUCGGCAAUCUUGUAUCUCUUCUCGACCGAAAGCAUUUGUUUAGCAGUAGAUAGAAUAACAAAAGUAUGAAAUAAACAUGUCAAAAUGUGGAAGAGCUUAGUAAGGUGCUGCAAGCCAACAAGUGGUGAGUUCUAGGAUAACCUAUUAUUAUUUGCUAUCAGAAUUUGGAGAUGCUUCAGUGAUCCUAUUUCAAUAGGUAAGUUAUCAAGCCUGUUGUUUGCAAUACGAAGUUCAUGCAGAGAAGUCAGUGAGCCCAAAGUCGAUGGCAAGCUAACCAGCCUGCAAGAUUAACAAAAAAAAAGUGAAUAAUCACUUAUCUUGUUACCAUGUGCACCAAAAAUAUGCAUGUUGGAGAUCAUGUUAGAUAACAUUGAGAAGAUAAGAGAUAUUGCAUUCUUAACGAAAACCAUGGAAUAUCCCCUUUUUGUAUGUAGGUGGUCAUUUACAUGCAUCUUGGUGGCAGAGAGUUAACUAAAAAAUUUGUAUAAAUGAUGUUGGCAAAUAGAUAGGUGAAAACAAAUGUGAGGUCAUGAGAUUUAGCAGUUCAAUAGACAAUUCAAAUUUAAAAUGUAGCCUUUAAGCUGACAUCAUCCCAUUUAACCUCAAAAUUCAUGAAGUCAAGCAGCACCAGAUUAACAACUGAGAUAUAUUUAACACCUCCGGGAUUAUAUUACAAACGUCAAGAAAAAACUAUAAGCCAUAAGAUUUAAUAUGCAAUAUCUCUUCUUUUUCAACAUAUGAUAUUUGUUGAUUCUAGGUCAAUAUCUAGCUUUCUGUCAGCUAUUGGUUGAUUCUAGGUCAAUAUCAAUCUUCAGAGUCGGCAAGUUAAAGCAACACUAAGAAUCAUGAGCAAAACUAAUUUUCGAGAACCUACUUAUAGAAAUUCUUUAUAUCUACCGGCAACAUCACAGAUGAUUCAUAGAUUACUAUGAAUCACAAGACAAGAGUAAUUGGCUGAGUUUGACCUACCGGUUCUGGCUUAAAGACAAGUUUAAUAAUUUUUGAAGGCAUGAUAGACCUUCCCAGCUGAUGUUCUCAUCAUCUAUAUCAUUGGCAGUUAGGAGUAAUUUCUGCAAUAUAUAAUUAUAUCACUUAUAAGUUUAUUUACAAUUAUAGUUCCUUGUGGAAGCAGAAAACAACCCAACUCACUCAGUGUGAAAGAAUACUUACAUUUAGAGAUUUAAGAGCAGAGAUUUUAUGCGGAAUUUCCUUGAUACAGUUGUUGCUGGCAUCUAGUAUUCGUACUGAGGGGCCACAACCCCAGACUUCCUCUGGCACUGCCUAUAGGGAAAAACAUCCACAAAAGAGUGUUACUUAUGUUUAAAUGUAUAGAUUAUGAUGAGAAAAUAAGGAAUAACAAUUUAAUAUCUUCAAGCUCCAUAUGGCUGGAAGUAGUGAAUGAUGAUAUGCUCAGGGAAUAGUAGCAUCGACACACAAGUCAGACUGCUAAUCAUGGCCAGCAAUUUACAAAAGUUCAAGCAAAUACUUUAAUAGACUAUUUUCAUGUAGGGGAUGCCUAGUACAAAGGCAGUAAGAAUCAUGAGACAUAUUUCUUUGCAACCAAUAUACAUGGAGCACUUUCGUUGACUAUGGUAGAUAUGGUAGCUCCCAAAAAUUAAAAUCGCAAUUAUCCUAUGCUAGAAUGCAUUCACGGGAUCGUUAUAAAGGUAGUUCAAAUAACCAGAUACCUUCAAGUCGCAAUCAUGCAGCGCAACAACGCCUGUUAAUUUCCACCGCUCAGCUCGGCUUUUGCCAACAACUGCCUCUGGUUUUUGUGUCUGAUGUUCCUUAACAUUCAAGGUUCUUGUUACACUUGUUGCCGAACUGCUGCUAUUCUUUGUGAUGGGGCCAUCCUAUUUGAGAGUAGGCACAGAGAAGUAGGUUGUAUCAAAUACAUAAGAAUGACAUGUGUACCCUGCUUCCAUUUCCUCCCUUCAAACAUUAUCAGCAUUGCGAUACUUCCAUGGUAGAAUAUGUGACUACACUACCCCCAAACAUUCACAGAAAAGACAUCCAAAUGGUGAAAUAAAGGCAGUUACCUCAUGAUGGGUGACACACUCUACAGGCGAUGGGUGACACACUCUACAGGUUUAACAACUAAACUUCAGAUCUGCUCCCAUUCCCAUCUAGCAGUCCUGAGCACAGCACCAAAUCGAACCUUCGCACAUGUUUAAUCACUGCACCCUACUCAAAGGAAUUCAAUUCUAAACGUCUAAAGACACAUAAUCACACAAAACACAGCAACCGGGAAACAGAUUAGUUCAGAUCGAGGAGGUUGAUGUCGUACCCCCUGAUGGAGACCCUGCGAUGCGAUGAGCAUGACCUUGGAUCCGCCCACCACCUGCAUGGAGCUCAGACUCGCGGCGUCCUGAAGCACUUUUCCUGCGAGCGCGAGGGAGUAAGGAUUAGUAACUACCGGAAAGAAUCGGCGCCCUCAGUAGGUGACAAGGGUUGGGGCAUCGGUGCCUUUGCAGACAAGCCUCUGGCCGCGGGGAAGGACGUUCGUGAGCGGUUGAAGGAGGCGCUUCAGCUCCGCGGUGGUCGCGGCGGCCGGAACCUCCACGGGGAUGGUCCGGCCCGCGAAUUUGACCUGGAUGGUGAUGGUGGGCGGCGAGCUCUCCAUGGCCUCUGUCGGUCUGUCCUUCCACAACUCUGUUUCGGUAGAUUGAAUUGGCAACUGCCGCAGUGCCGCCCCGUUUUCUUCGUUUUGGGCGGUGUGUGUUCCCUUUUGCUUGUUCAGGCCCGUGUUUAGGCCUGUGCAUGCAUAGCACAUAUGUCGACCCGAUCCAAUCCACGAAACGAAUAGCAUCCACGGGUUGGACUUGUUUUGCCCACCCAUCUAGGGCCUGAUUGGUUUCCGCACGCCCCAUCCUUACAUCGCACUGGUGUGGCACACCCUCUCCGCUAUUACCAUGCAAAUGUCCACUGUCUGGUUGCCUGCGCGUAUGCAGCAUAACCAACAGAGAAGCUGAUUGGUUGUCUGGGCGCAUGAGCUGGCCUUGCACCGCUCCUCUCUGCACUCAUGCAACUCGUGCCGGUCUGGCUUGACGAAAAUGCUCGAUUCAUGUGUUUCCAGCGGGCUUGGCUGGGAGGCGCAUCUUGCUUCACGGGGGCCUGACUCGGCCGCUAGGGUAGGCAACCAAUCACGUGGAAGUCACAUGCCGAGAGCUUGGUCAGGCUGAAACCAGGCAACCAAUCAGGUCCCUAAUGUUUGUCGCUUCCUUUUUCUGGAGCUUCACCUAGCUCUAACUCCACCGCGUAGCACUACUAUAAUGUCCAAGAAGCCGGGACUGGUGAAGCAAAAAAUUGUGGUCUCCCACUCGCUCCAGGUGUUUCUUAGUUCAUCGAUGAACAGUAAUGCUACAAUAUCAUAACACUCGCUUCAGGUGUUUCUUAGUUCAUCAAUGAACAGUAACGCUACAAUAUCAUAACAGUGCUCGAGUCAGAGAAGCGGCAACAUACUGGAGCUCCGCCAAAAAGCCCCUAACGCAUGCAAGAGACUUGCCUGUCGCCACCAGGGCGCAUCGCACUGGUGUGGCACACCCUCUCCGCUAUUACCAUGCAAAUGUCCAUUGUUUGGUUGCCUGCGCGUAUGCAGCAUAACCAACAGAGAAGCUGAUUGGUUGCCUGGGCGCAUGAGCUGACCUUGCACCGCUCCUCUCUGCACUCAUGCAACUCGUGCCGGCCUGGCCCGACGAAAAUGCUCGAUUCAUGCGUUUCCAGCGGGCCUGGCUGGGAGGCGCAUCUUGCUUCACGGGGGCCUGACUGGGCCGCUAGGGUAGGCAAACAAUCACGUGGAAGUCACAUGUCGAGAGCCUGGUCAGGCUGAAACCAGGCAACCAAUCAGGUCCCUAAUGUUUGUCGCUUCCUUUUUCUGGAGCUUCACCUAGCUCUGACUCCACCGCGUAGCACUACUGUUAUGUCCGAGAAGCCGGGACUGGUGAAGCAAAAAAUUGUGGUCUCCCACUCGCUUCAGGUGUUUCUUAGUUCACCGAUGAACAGUAACGCUACAAUAUCAUAAUAGUGCUCGAGUCAAAGAAGCGGCAGCAUACUGGAGCUCCGCUAAAAAGCCCCUAACGCAUGCAAGAGACUUGCCCGUCGCCACCAGGGCGCAUUUGGAUUUGUCCUAUACCUGCACUACCAAAUCAGAUUGGCCGGCCGGCCACGAAAUGGGCUGCCACGAUUUGGCCAUGCAUGGCCUGAAAAGUGAAAUGCGCUGGGUUGCCUGAACAGCGGCCUGCCAAAUCACAGCAGCCAUCCAAACACCUCCAGCCAUGGUCAACGGCCAAAUAUUGGCUUGGCUCAUGUUUAAUCCAAGCACGCUCUUAAGCACCAUUGGCGUCUUGGCGAUAUCAAUGAUGGCAGGCUGGCGGCAGCAUCGAUGGAGUCCCCACCGCUGCACUCCACUCGUUGACCAUUGCUACCAGCGAUCUGAAUCUACUUUGCGCGAAUACAAAGGUUAGCUUUCGUUUCUGCUCCCCAGACUCCCACUCUAAUUCCUUUUGUGCGCUCUCUUUUUUCUCUGCGGAGAGGAAUAGACGUGCUUGCUUGCUUGCUUCUAGUGAGAGAUUGAGGUGUGAGAUUUCGAUGGCAUUCCAGAAAACAAUUGAGACUCCCACUGCUCAUACUCACAUAUCCCUUUUAUUUUCCCUUUUGUUUUGGUGUUCAUGAAAUCUAUGGUAACAAGUAGCAGCGUAACCAGCCCUAUGCAUCUUUUGACUUAGGUAGGCAAAUUAUAUGCGUGUUUUGAGUGAAAACACAAUAAAAUGCAGAUUGAUGAGCUCAUUGGUGACAUACGAGUAAUUCUUGAGUCAAUUAAUAGAACUGAAGUCAUGUACAAAAUAGCUGAACAUUUAUAUUAUAGUUGUAGGUGAAUGCACGGGAACUUUGCAAUUCAAUACUGUGAUAUUUUCUUACCCAUCAUAUUACAUCUUGAUUGAUGGAUUACUAAUCACUAAAUGUCUGGAAAAUACUAUCAUAUAAGUUGACUAUAAUUGUCUUGCAUCAUCACUUUACAGAGGAAAGAAAGUUUGCCGACUGUACGAAAAAUGGAGGAUGGAAACUUUAUCAACAUUAAAGAAUCAGAGUUAAUAGAAAUCAGUGAUUUAAAUCUCGGCUAAGCCUCUUAGCAGUUGAAGUUUGCAGCAGAUAAGAGCAGCUAUAGCUGGCUAUAGCUUAGCUAAGCCAUUUAGCGGUUUUGAAAGAAAAGGGCAAAAAUCAGUAAUCACUUCACAUAUUCAUUAGCCAUCACUCCUCUGUUCGCAAGAACAUGACUCCAUGACCAGUGGACUAUCAAUAGACGCAAGAACAUAUUCAAUGUUCAUCAGUUCAAUAAAAAACGCAAUGACACAAUCAGUAGGCAAACUAGCUAGGAGCCAAGCAACUAGUAAAUGAUGCAAUAUGACGGCAAGGACCUCAUGUAUCGUUGUGAAACAAACACAGUUGGAUGAGGGGGCCGCGUGCUAGCACUUGGAUGGACCCAUGCUUGAUUUCGCCCAACAAGGCACUUAGUGGCUACAAAAGUAGUCCCAUUUUGUGGCUAUAGCGGACUAAGUACAGUUAUUAGCGGUAGCUAAAUCAUAACGGCAAAACUGAGUUAUCCUAGCGGCUUGUCUUCCCAGCAACUAUCUCCGGCUAUGUGUACCGCUAUAGCCGGAGAUUUAAAACCUCGAUAGAAAUUGUAAGAGAGUAUUUGCUAUUCAUUAUACAAAUUAAGUGUAGAAAAGCUACCAUUCACUAGACAUAGUAAGAUCUACGGAAACUGCAUCCCAGUAGUAGUGUGCAACUAUGAGGCAAUGCACUUCGAAACACUGGAAUUUUGAUACUAGCAGCAAACCCUACAGACUUGACAAAAGGAUACCUUAAAUAGAGUUACAUAAUUUAAUACAAAAAAGAAGUAACUUAUAUAACACUCAUACGCCACUCGAAUUUCAACUUUUAAAGCACGCGGCCGAUGCCACCUCUGAAUCAGAUUCGAACACCUGUCUCGCUUAGACGAAGCCGCCAUUGACCCUGAUGACCUGGCCGUUCACCCAGGCCGCAGCGUCGCUCGCCAGGAACGCCACCACGGGUGCCACGUCCGUCGUCUCGGCGAUGCGCCCCAUGGACUCCUGCUCCACCCUCCGCAGGAACGCCUCGUCCUUCCCUGCCAAGAACAGCUCGGUGCGCACGGGUCCCGGCGCCACCACGUUCGCGGUCACCCCCUUGGCCGCCACCUCCUUGGCCAGGAUCCUCGUCAUCGCCUCCACGGCGGCGUUGGUCGCCGUGUACGCCGCGUACCCCGGCAGGAGCGUGCCCACGAUCGACGACGAGAACGUCACGAUGCGGCCGCCGCUGCUAGCGGGGAUGCGCUUCGCCGCCUCGCGGCACACUAGGAACGUCCCGCGCACGUUCACCGCGAACAUGGCGUCGAAGUCCUCGACGGCGGUGUCCGCGAGCGCCGGGUACUUGGUGUCGAGGAGGCCCGCGCAGGCGACCACGAUAUGCGGCGGGGACCCGAACGCCUCCUCGGUGCGGUCGAAGAGCGCGCGUACGGCGUCCGGGUCCGACACGUCGGCGCGGACGGCCACGGCGCCGUGCCCGCGGGAGGCGAGCUCCGCGACGAGCUCGUCGGCCUUUGAGGAGUUGGACGCGUAGUUGAUCACGACGCGCGCGCCGAGCGCGGCGAGGCGGGAGGACACCUCGCGGCCGAUGCCGCGGGAUCCGCCGGUGACGAGCGCGACGCGGCCGGCGAGCGGGAGCGGCGAGGUGUUCCCUGCGUCUGCCCCUGCCAUGACUACCUCGACGUGGUUGCGGGAGUGGGAGCACGUACCACGUAGACGUAGAGGUGCUUGCUGCUGGCUUGGCUCAAUUAAACCCCUCGCGCGGUGUCACGCAGGCACAGUCUCUCUCUCUCUCUGGUGCUUGUGUUUUUGAUUUUUUGUCUCUAGGAGUUUUGCUGUGCUCCACACUGCGAGAUGGCCGUGGAUUAUAUAGGUGUAGGCAAGCGCGGUUUAGGUGGAACGUGACACAGGGAGUGACAUCACGUUUCUCUCGGUCAGUCCAAGUUAAUGCUAACACGCGCGUUCUCACUGACUCGUGGGCUCGUGGCCCCGGGGCGUCUGCGCCAAGACAAAGACAGCGGAAGACACCAAGCAGGUUGAUGACGUCCAAGGUGAGAAUACAUGACGGGUAGGAUUUUCUGUGAGUGCAAACGUUCCUCGUACCAAACUGAUGCAAAUCCAGAAUUUCAGUCGUUUCAACGCAAACUGUCUCACGUAGUCCUGAAAUAGGCAAGGGCCCUUGGCGUGUUAGGUCCUCAGGAUCCUUCGCUUUAGGCCUUGUUCGGUUUGAACUAUAGUUCUAAAUAGCUAACUAUAGUUUCGCUAUAGCUCCACUAUAGUUUUUUUUAAGGAGCUGACGCUAUGCUAUUGCUAAUUGUUCCGCUAUGGCCGCUAAGGACGCUUUAGUUCCGCUAAACACCGCUAUUUGGCUUAGCGAAACCUAUUUAGCACCGCUAAUCCUAUUUUCCACUAUGCGGGUUGAUAAUGCUUUAUUUUCUCCACACUAGAGGCCCAAAAGCUCAUUGGUUGCUAAAAAACAAUGACAGCGGUACAAAAUCCUAACUGUAAUCUUUAAUUUUGAAGUGAUAGACACGAAGACAUGUUCUCAUAUAGCCCUGGACAUGCAUAGUAUUCAUAAAAUUUCCUUACGCCCAUGUUUUUGUGCAUGUUCAUAUUUAUAUAAGACCGCUAAAUGAAAUAACUUACGCUAUAUCCCGCUAUAGAUUUUUAUAGCUUUUGAAAGAAGUCGUCGCUAAAUGACUUAGCCCGCUAUUUAAAGCAUCUGACUUGAAGGGGAUUGGAGAGGGUUGGAGGAGAUUAGGAGGGAUUACAUCCCCUGCAAGUCAAAAUCCCCUCCAAUCCUCCUCAAUCCCCUUGGAAAGGGGAUUAACCGAACAAGGCCUUAGGGGUGUUCAUAGGUUUCUCAAACCCAAACCAGCCAAACCGGCAGUAGGAAAUUUGUGCUGUAUGAAUGAACAGUAAUCCUUCGGGUACAGUUUAGUGUUCACUCGCAAUUCAAGAUGGGAGGGUCCGGUUUGGGCGGAUCAAAAUCCAUACCGUGAUUGAACAGCCCUACUUCGCGUGUUAGGUCUUCAGAGUUCAGACCCAAAGGUUCAGGCCGACCAUUUUCACCUCCAAGCCAACCAUAGGAGAACUAAAGGAAAAAUUCCUUUCCCUUUUGAUUCCUGUGAUCCAUUCAUAUGCACCAAAGGCUGCUAUAGGAACCAAAUUCAUAGGAACUAGAAUCCUAUGUUUUCCCAUUAAUUUUCCUCCAUUCCAAAGGAGGUCUAAGAUAGCCAAUGGCAUUAGUGAGCUUGGCUCAAACCAGGCUAGUUAAGGGCUCAGCUUUAUCUGAACAAUAAACGAGUCAUGACAGUCAAAUGUAAGGUUUUAGGAGUAGGGUGAUGAGAAAACCAAGACGUGGUCGUGUACUUCGUUUUCCCAAGACCAAAAAAGGCAAAGAGGGUAGAAAACAAUGGCAAAGAAGUAAUAAAAAAGGAAAAAUAAUAUAAUAAUAAGUUUAGAAAAGAAGAAAUAAUAUAAAGAAAAUAAUAGGAAAUAAAAAUAAAUUAAAUUAAAUGAUUUACUACAAUAGAAAAGAAUAAAGAAAGAAAAGCUAGACAAAAACAAUAUAAUAAUUAAUUACAAAUAUUAACAGAAUAAAAAAAAUACAAAGAGAAAAUACAAAAUGAAAAUAAAUAAAAGGUUAAAAAAGGAAGAAAAAUAAUAAUAAAGUGUUAUAAAAGAAAAAGCAAAAUGAAAAAAAGAAAAAAGUUAACUCGAGCCAUAUCCUAAUGGAAAAGGAAAAAAAAUACAAACUAGCAAAUUGGGACGAAUAAAAAAGACAAUAGCCCGAAAGAGACAGAAAAAAGAAACGGAACGGACCACAAUUGUACUGAACAUACUCAGCGUAGCAGCGGGCCUAAAGUAUCACAUGGGCCAAAAUCACUCCACCAGCCAUGUGGACGACACAUAUAACUAUUUAUCGCAUAUGUGAUCCGCGGCCAACCCAUGUGAAAGCAAAAUUGGUCGAUGAUUCACCGCAGGAAAUACCAAGGAAAUCGUAUAAGCCCAUCAUCCGAACGCGAGGACUUGUUGGGCUUAGCCUGUCAACUACUGUUCCCGCGCUAACUCUCCCGCCCGGCUGUGGCCUGGCCCAACCUAAGGGCGGCGCAUCAACUUAUAGAUAGGAAUUUCUUUUAAUGAGAAAUUCAGUCCCGUUAUCGAACCGCUUACCAUUCGGGCAGAUAUUCUAAGCAGGCUUAUCUCUAGCUAUCUCUAUUGGUUGAUUAAUUAAGCAACUUUAUAUAAAUAAAAAAUGCUUUUCCACAUGCCUUGAUGAGCAGCUUUAUAUGCAGCAAGCCCUCCGGUUCAUUGACCCUACUCGUCCGUCUUAUGUGAGCAAGCUCCUCAAGUCUCUCUAUGGGUCGAAGCAAGCGUCUAAAGCUGGGUUAAAAAAGCUGAGUGACUUACUUAAGCGGUGCAGAUUCUCAGCCUCAAAAGAAGAUUAAUCCCUACCUUAUUAUAGAAGUUCUGGCAGGAAAAGUCACUCUAUAUAUGCUUGUAUAUGUUGAUAAUAUCAUCCUCGCUGGUAACUCUCCUGAUGUCAUUUCUUCAUGGAUGGCUGCUUGACAACAUUUUCAAUCGAGGACCGCUUGACAGAUGAAUAAGUAUCUGAACAUGGCUAAAAUUCCACCCACAACCCUGGCUGGGAUCUCUAAGUCAGGUCUGUUUCCAAUAGAGCUUUCCCAAAACAAAAUUGGUACAUCCUUUAUCUGUAUAUAUCUCGUUCAAGGUAGGAGAAUGCCCGUUCUAUGGUCUUCGAGAAGUAGCGGCAAUUUCAUAAGCUUAGAAUGCUACCUUAACUUGUGUUCGUGCAAGUGCUGCUCCGAAGGUUCACUCUGGUUGUCAUCAUAGGAUUGAAGGGUUAAGCCAAUUGUCUGGUUUGCUUCAUUUUGAUUCCCAGUCUAACUAAGAAUUAUAGAAUGAAAAAGCUGAGUAAUAAACAAGGAUUGGUUUGCUAUUUAUGAUGACGAAGAGCUGGUACAAUCCUCCUUCAGGAAAUGACCUUGCAAUCUACAUUCUUCCAAGAUGGUAUAUGACAGAAAGAAAGUAGUGCGAUGAAUUAGUAUCAUUUACUAGUCAUUCUAAAACUGUUCCAAUUCAUUUCACAUUUCAUUACCUAGAGCCUGAGAGGGUUCGUACUAUACCUAUUACUAUGGAUGCCUCAUCUAGCACAUACCAAAUAAGCCACCCGGGUAUCAUAGGAGACAGGGGAAAAAGCACUUUACAAAUUACUCACUGGGUCAGAGGAUGCUUAUAAGAAAUCAGUAGCUGGGGUUGGUAGUCCUGGAACAGCUUUUCCUGCAUGCCUAAAAGAAAGAGUUAGCUUUUGGGACAAGACAAGCAAGGGCGAAAGCUUCACUGGCUGUCCCAACUGCUUUACCUGCUGUCCCUACUAUUCAUUCUUCGCCAAGAGAGCUACCACUUCACAACUCAAGUCCGGGAGUAGUCGUUUUUCCGACUGUAGCAUCUCACUAAGCAACAUAGCUAACUAUUCGUUACACUAGUACUGCUCGACCAACUAGUCCCGGGAUUGUAUUCUCUACUGAACUAACUACUACUUUCCGAGGGAAAACACAACAUAGUGCAUCUUCAGAUGUGCGAAAAAAUGGAUUUCUUCUUCAAACCGUAUCAACUCAUUGGUUAACAACUACUUCUUCCGUUCCAAAUUACUAUUUGUUUUGAUUUUUCUAGAUACAUAAUUAGACAUAAUAUAUAUUUAGUAAUUUGAGACGGAGGGAGUAGCAGGCUCCCUCUCUGGAAAAAAAAAAGCAAGCUGACGGACGCGGCCCGCGUGCAUGGACGAGCUCAAGGCUGACUUGACUUCGUUCCCAACUCGGAUCGGAAGUCUGCAGCCGCAUGGUCGCCGCACGCAGUGGAGCUCGCUCGAGCCCGAUCGAUGUGGAACUGGUCAGAACUGCGGCGUCAACUCCAUCCCACCGCUGCUCGUGCUGACACCUGAACAAUAUAAUCGAUGAAGACAGUUCAUUGGCGAUGCUCCGUUUACUUACUGAUUAAGUAGUACACAAAGUUGCUUGAUCAGAAUCGGAAACGGCAACCGUUCCCCGCCCGUCUUGGCUACCUCCAGUUUCAAUCUUAUGCUACUAGCUAGCUCCAGUUUUGCUACGUACUGCUAAAGUGCUAAUUCAGCAUUACUAAAAACGCAUGUCAAUUUAGCGGACUUCGAGGUCAUCUGACCUGCAAUGCCAACCGACAAGAACAUCACUUGCUUGGAUACAAUCACAUUAACAACUUUUGAUUGAAAAGUAAAAUAAUUCUUUCUCAUGAUUAUAUUUGAUAUAUUUGAUGAAUUGAUACUGCACCAUAAUGUGUGUUCAUUAUCAUUUUCAGAAAUACAUAAGUGGACCAAAAGAGUAUUAAACACACAUGGAAGGUAUGGAAGACCAAAGAAGUUGAUUGGGACCAAGUCCAAGUAUUCCUAACAUUCUCCACUAGACCACCAUGUCACUUUUGGAAAGAAAGAGAUCAAAUCUAACACGUUUUGGGGCUGAAUUCGGACUGCAGAAUAGCACUAACUUGUGACGGUCACCACGGUCGCAUAAGGACUCGAAUUGGGGCGUUCAUGUACUUUAUGGAAUCCUUAUCAAUUCUAUUUUCAUAUGGAUAUGGACUCAUGUCCAUAUCUUUUCUGUGGCGGCCACUAUCGUCGAUUUGUUACAAAGACAUUUUCUGCAUACGAUGUUGCGUCACCCUAUUUUGGUCCGAUAGGCCUUGUAUCAAGUCGGGUUCAAUAAGGACGCGUCCUAGGGUUGGAGCACGAUACCAGGACCCCCCUGGUCGUCCUCUACCCUCUCAUAUACCACCAUAGCCGCCACAAACAGAUUGGAUUUUGUUUAGAUGGAAGUUUAGCCAUUGCUACUUCCUUGUAGACGCGUGUGUCAACUAGAUCAUCAGUUCUACUCGAUUCAGAACCCCAACUUUAUGAUUUCAGAUUGGUUUUUAGCUCCAUAUUUGCAAUUUAGUUUCUUGUUCUACUUGUUCUUACUUGUUCCUCGAUUGCUUGCAGGAAUUACGCUAGUGGUUUGGUUGAUCGUGCUCCACAAGAUCGCGGCGACCAUUGGAGGUGGUGUAUCGGUUGCUAAGGCGCAACAUCCUUGGAUGGUUGUAGUUGGGCCGUGAACGUCGUCUCCAUCCUCAAAUUGAGUUAUCCACCUUCUCUCAUCGAAAGAUCGGGAUUUAACCUCACGGGUUCACAUCACCAACGCUGCUAGUGACUCUAGAAUCGCUGCUGAAAUUCGUAACGGAACCUUACAGCAGGAACAUGAUACUGUGCAUCGAGGUAUCUUGUUUCAUUCAUCAAUCCAAACUUCUUUAUAAGAUGCGUCUCUCUUGAAAACUGCAAAAUGGAACUCGCCAUUGGAAAUGGUUCUAAAUGCACAUAAAACUCCUAUGAAACUUGUAGUGGGAAUUGCCUUCAUAAAGACUGCUAACAAACAGUUUGAAAUUACUCAAUAGUAGUCGGUCGGCACCUAUGAUCCUUUGAUAUGCCAGAGCAAUAUGUAACAUCGCAACCCUUAAAAGAAAAGCAAUGGCUUACUGGAGCAAAAAUAUGCAGAGCCUUGUACAGACAUGAAGUACUCUGCAUAGGUAGUAGGGCACAGUAGCAAUGCAUCUAGAGAGGAACUGAGGAAGUCAAAACACAUGCCUGAGACCAGGUCAAUGAGCUCAUACCAUUAAAUUCACUGAAUUUUAAAGUCUCUGGCACUGUUGAUCCUAACUGGAAAAUCACAUGGCGUACAUGUAAAGAACAGCUGCGCACUCAAGAAAAACUGGAUCUGGCUCUAGUAGUAGUGAUGUUACUAUAAUUACAAUUGGGGACCAGGUUAUGCAGUUGCAAGUUCUAAUAUCAAUGGUGGCCUUUUUUUCUUUUGUAAAGAAUGGUGGUGGCCUUGGAAACAGUCAAAAUGGUGGUAGUAGUGGUGGGCAAGGUGGUGGAUUACAGCACUGCCCAUCCCUAGUUCGUCCAUUUCAAAAUAACUGGGAGCCAACCUUCCGGUUACAAAUGUAGAUAGUUUAGGACACUAACAUGAUCUCCAAUGCAACACUUGACUUGUAUUUUUAUAAGAACCACUCCGCCGCGGUCUUUUCAGCUGAACUUCAUUGCGUUCCCAAGUGCGGAACGAAUGGGCGUUGUUUUUGGGGCACAAUCGGGUUAUUUCAUUCCUUGAGUACAUAAAAAAGAUAAAUAUAUGGGGCAAACUUCUUCCCGCGUCAAAUAAUAAAAAGUAUAUAUAUUAUGAAGUGUUUUCCGCGAUGAAUUUAGUAAUGUAACCAAAGACUCUUUUAUUUACAGCAGAUGGGCUAAUGUUUGCAAACCAAACGUGCCGUGUGGCGGAGGACAGCGGCAUACAUAAGGCCAAAAUGGGCCAUGGCCCCUUUUAAAUUCGCGAAGUCCUUUGAGAGCAACUCCAAGAACUUCCAAAAAAUUAUUCCCCAAAAUCAUUUAUUGGGGGCUGUUCCAAAAAAAAAUUUCCUCAAAAAUAUACCAACCCACAGCAGAACACUAAUAACUAGCCCCCAAUAUUUUAAAACAGGCCACACCAUCAUAAUUGGAUCCAGCCCAGCAUCUGCCUACUCUCUCCCCGUUUGAUUCUUUCUUCUUCUUCCUCCAACCGAAGAAGAAUAGCGUGGCCGUGAGCUUCCCCAAUUUGACAUUUUGACUUGUUGUUCGUACCAGCCGAGGAGAGACGGGAGGAGGAAGAGACGCUGCGCAAUCAGAAUCACCCCGUGGAAGUCAUUCUGACGCCAGACUCCGGCGAGAGCUCCCCAAAGCUGCCGCCGCCGGCUGACCAGGACUCGCCGGGGGUUGUGAAACGACUCGUCAGCGGCCCCCUUCCCAGUUAAUCCAACUUCUCGCCUGUGCCCCUCCCGCGUUUCUUUGGUUUUGCCGGCACCCAGCUUUGCCUCCGCUUGCCACGCUUCAAGCAGCCCUCGACCACGCAGGCACCUGGCCUUGCCGCUGCCUGCCGAAUAGUGUCAGAGUUCCAGCAGCCCGUGUCCCCGCGUGAGACUAGACCCUUCGCUUUCAACUAUGUGGCGGAACCGCCCAAAUUAACUUGGCUAAAGCACAUUUAAGUCGCCUAACACGAGAUCCUGCGCUUUAAUCAAGUUAACCCGGCAGUCCGUCGGAUUUCAUCCGAUAAACCACUUCACAGGACCGAGAAAGCAUAGCUCACACGAAUGUGAGUGGUUCCAGAGAAUACAAGAGAUCAUCAAAAUUAAACAAGUACAUUAAUUUAUUACAUCAUCAGGUUCGAAAUUCAACCAUAGCUUGCAGAGUUCUUAAGCAGCGGAAAUGAACAAACGGAAGCUAGCCCGAUGGCGGAUGUCACGAUGAGGCUGAUCAUGACAUCAAUGAUUCUCGUCCUCGCCGUCCGAGGAGGGAUCCCACUCGACCGUCCACCCAGUAGGAAGCUGGGGAGGCCAAGUGCCACUUGUAGCAAACUCAGAGACGUCAACAUCACCUAAAAAGAUAUGCCAUAACAAGGUUGAGCGACUACGCUCAACAAGACUUAACCGACCGGUGGUACUACUCCACCAACUUCUAGACAUGCAAGGCUUUCUGGCUGAGGGGUUUGUUUUUUGCCAAAAGUGACUACAGUAGGCCCUUACUUUCAAUAUUUUAGCCACAGGUUCUAUGUUCAUUUACCAAUAUAAGUUGGCCACUAUACUAACCAAGCAAAAGUUUCCAAGCAAUUUAUGACAAGCAUUAAUAUUAACAUCACCAUCAAGUUCCAUUCUUACUCAGUGUAGCAUAGCGAUCAAGUAGUCCCAAAUCGUGAGAGGCAGAUGAAUCGAUUCGAAUUUCUUAACCAUGCAUGGUGAACCUAAUCUCACGAUAUCCGCGUACCACGAAGCGUCGCUUCACUUGUCAGCCGUCCCCAUCAAUUCCCAGACCCGUGUCAGGCCCACUUCUCUUGGUACAAGGCUCCAUAAAACCCGGCCUCUGCCGUUCUAUGACCGCACUUGUCACCAUAUGCGGCUGCAAGGGAACUUCAUUCCAGAGACAGUGGAUCGAACCGCUCACGUCCUGGUUCAAUCAGGUACUAGGCUUCCCCAUCCCAUACUAGGUAUGAGAUUAGUACUUUCAACACUUGAUCACGAACACCAUCACCUUUCGACCUUAGUCCAAUUUCAAGUAGAUAGACGGGGCAAUCCACCGACCACCAAAAUAGUUCACAGAACCCUGCCCCAUCCAUCAUCCUUAUAGUUGUAACAAAAAGGAGAGCAAACAACUCCUAUACUCGCGAGUGACAGGAAAUCACUAGACUUUUACCGAGUCCUAUUUAAGCAUUGCAACUACUCGGCUUAUCAUACUAGUGUUCAGAUCAAAGGGAAACUAAUUCAUGCAUCUAUGGUUUCAAGCAGUUCCUAAAAACGUAAAUGCACAAUCAAACAACCAAAUAUAUUGCAAGAAGAUAAAGAUAGGAAUUUAUGCUCCGGAGCUUGCCUUCAAGCGGGGCGGUAGCGAAUUGGUCCUCGGCGGGCUCGGGCUCGACUCCUGCAGGCGGCUGCUCAGCUACGAUUUCAUCUUCUGGCGCCGGGUGAAGCUCGUAGGUCCCGUCGACGAGGUUCAGCUCUACAUGAAUGCAAUGCAAGGAUAACCCACGUAGUCGGUGAUUUCAACAGUAUUUGCAAGGAUUUAAACUCAAAACUAUAGCAACACUACAGGCAAAGGUGCAAAAUCUACUUUAUUGGAUUUUACUCAGAACGAGGAUUCCAACCAAAGUGAUUUCACAUUUUUCAGAUUUUUCCUCGAUUUAAGAUGUAAUUUCCAAGUUUCUGUCGAUUUCAAACGAGUUAAAGAGUCGGAUUUGGGAAAAACUUACGAUCUGACCCUUAGACUUAAGGAAUAACUGUACCGGGAUCCUUAGAUUUAACACAGAGAAGUCCCUGAAAUUUAACACAGAUACCCUCGGUCAAAAGAAAAGACACAACCGAGCCUUCAGGCGAGGCGGACAACACUCGGGCGAGACAGACAACACUCGGGCGAGGUGGACAAGGUCCGGUCACUUUCGCGGACGAUUCAGGGUCGGGAAGAGUUGGAAAGGGGUUGGCAGCUCACCUCCGGUCCUACUGACGAGGUCUCGGGGUCGAAGAAACAAGCCGAGGUGGAAUGAGGAAAAACAACGGCUCGGGUCGGCGUCGCGGAAAUUGGCGGCGGCGAUUCGGUGAGAUAGGGGCCUCAGAGGCUCCUUGAGCCGGUCGGUGAGCUCUUCGAACGGGUCGGCGAGCUCCAGGUGACCAAGGCGAAGCUGACGGUGAAGGAGUCGCUGCGUGGGGCUGGCUGAAGUGCCAGCUCCAAGCGCGACGGUGAGUGCGGUGGAGAAAAACAUAGCAGGUAGUGCGGCAAAGGUGGUGGUGGCGAAAGGAACUCCAGUAAGAGGCUUUGGUACCUUUUUAUAGAUGCGCGGAAGUUUUCGGAGGAAGGAAACGAGCUCGAGCGGGUAAGAGGAUAAGAUCGAGGGAGAAGGAAGUGCUCUGUCGCGGCGGCGAUUGGUCGGCGCCUCCAUUGGCGAGCUCGGACGCAAUCUUGCCCUGGUUGGGUAGCAAGGAUUUGGGGGCUAGAGCAAAGCGGGUUUGCUAGGCAUGCGGAUCUGCUAGGUCUGCGCGAGUGUGGGGUCAAGUCACGCUGGUUACUAGGCGAAGGCAUGCGCCGGUGGGCCGGAGAAGGGCGGGCGCGUGCUGUCGCGACCAUCGAUGGUGACGGCAGCAUUGGCAGACAGGAGGGGGGGAAGGGCACUACAGGCGAGGGCGAUGCGGGCGAGGUGACAGGGCAAGCGGUAUGACUCGAGCAUGCGCGGGACUAGCGGCUCUGCCGGGGCACGCUACUGGCGAGGCGGGGGAAGGAGCUGUCAUUGCCUGUGCGGCAGUUGGCAGAGGCGGCAGCGUCGCGGGCGCGCGCGCGGGCAGCAUGACUGGGGUGUGACGGGAGGGCCAAAAGGCGUUGGGGCGCGCGGCCAAGGAUCCGGGUGGGGUGGAUGCACGCGGGAGGCGAGGCGGUACCAGCGCGGCAGCGGCCAGUCUUCGGUAGCGGAGUGGCCGGGGUGGCGACGGGACCGCGGGCAGUGCGCCUGGCGCAGCCGGCGAGGCCUCAGGCGGGAUGAGACGGGAUAGAGCGGAGGACCGCGGGUCGUCGUCGUGUGUGACUGGGGAGCGAGGCGCAUCGACCCGUCUUGUCGCGGCUGGCGACUGGGCGAGGCGGCGCUCGCCGGUGAGGCCACGCCACGCGACGGCGACGCUCUAGAGCGUGGCGCACGCGCGCUCUGGCACUGUCUAGCCGACAGAUCCGCGAGAUCCUUUGCCGGGCCCAUCUUCAAGCCUGUUGAUCUCCCGAUUUUCAAACUGCGCCACAUUGACUCCCUUUACAAGAGUUGUAGUACACAGACCAAGGUCCAACUUUUGUAAUGACCGGGCUCAAAAACGCGGUGGAUUUGAAGAUUCAACGCUUCAAAGUUUGGAGGAACGCCGAUUUCCGGGACUUAGAGAAAAACGGUGGCUUGGCUGGUUUUCAGGGUUCGGGGCUGAUUUGAGCUGCAGAUUUGGGAAGCUUUGGAGGUGAAUUGGACCAAGAUCCAAUUAACAAAGUUGUUGUAGAAACUUAGUUCUCCAACUUUUACAAAGGGAUUUCUUGAUGCUCUGUUCAACUUUCAAAGAUAAACCCGCCCUAAGGUGCUAGGUUGGGCUGAUUUCCAGACUUAGCCGGAAUUGCUAAAGGAGGCUGACCAAACUAGAGGACUUUGACCUGGAUUUUGGACAAAACAACACAGAUUGGUAUACCGGGUUUUUUAUGGGCUUCUUGUGAGGGAAAAAAGGGUAUUUCCACUUGCCUAAAAGUUGCCAAAGCUCUUCUUUAAGUACAAAGGACUUGUUCUUACGAUUAAAACACCGUUUAAGCACCCAGGUUGUUACAAACUAGUACACGGUUCAAGAUUAGAAAUUCCGGCAAGGUUACCCAUGAAUCAAUGCCCACAGUCGAGUCAAAUGGAUUCUAUUAGUGGUGAAGAAUAUGUUAGAGGAAGGAAUUGAUGAGAGACUCGCUAUGGAUGUCGAAUUUGGCCGGCAAACGUAGCAUCAUCUCCGUCCGCCCUUGAGCACCGCAGUUCCUUCCGUUUGUGAGAACCGGCGACGAGCCCGGCCUACCUGCUGCCUUGCAGUUGCAGUGCAAGUGCCACCGCCGGCUCGCCCUGCUCUUCAAUCACUCUGUCUGCUCCACCAGCUCCCGCAGUUGCCGGCGGGGUUCGAUGCUGGGGUAUCAGCCAGCACGGAGGAAGGCAGCCGCCGCUAGGGAACCAGGCGCGAAGAAGGCUGCCGCCGGUGGGGAAACCGGGCGUGAGGAAACUGUGCGUGCGGGAAAAAAAGGCGCAUGUGCCACUCGCGAGGGCGCGCGGACGGGAUUGGGAAGGAGGUGCGCCCCGCAAUUUUACAGGAAAAAUAGCUGCGAAUGCGGGUACACGUAAAUUUGCAGGAGGUUUAGGAGAGCUGUUGGAGCAACUUUUUUUUUUCCUUUUUUCCUCUAAUAAAGGUUUUAGGAGUAAUUUAAGGGAGCUCUUGGAGUUGUCUCUUAACAGCCUUAAAUCUUGAUGAUGACCCUGCUUAGAUUGCCACUUCGCUGGACCUUCCUAAGAUUUAGCUAAGCUCUGCCGCUGUUCCUAAAAAAAUCAUAGACAUAUAUGAUAUAUAAACAUUCCAAUACUCAGUUUCAUGUACUCGUACGUCGAAGAGAUCUACUCCAAAAAUUUCAGUAUUACGCAGCAUAGCAAAAUAUGAAUAUUAAUGAUUCAGGAACGGGCAGUGUUACUUAAAUCAGUUCAAAUUAAGCAUGCAUGAAGAAGAUUUAAAAUAUGGGAAGCCAUGAGAGUAGUGCUACUAUUGGAAGUCUGGUGGUAUUGCAGAAGUACUCAGAAAACCAUUAGUCCAUUAUUUUGUAGUGGUAUAUAUAUACUCAGAUUUUUCAGAUAUUAUCUGUGGGACUCAGAAAAGAGUUAAUUUAAAGGAAGUAAUACCGCAGAUUUUUCUAGUUGUCUGUCACAAAAUUCGAAGUCUAGCUCUCUGCACGCAUCGAAUUACUACUUCCAUAAGCCGUGUGUGUGGUUUGGUCGCCAACUCGCCAUCCAGUUCGCCACUUUAAUUUAUGAGCCUACGACUCCAAUGCACGUAUCACGCAUGUACAAUUUCGAAGUCAAUUACGAGUGCUUCGAGGUCGCUUCUCUGCGAUGUCAACCAACCAAGACUAGCUCGCAGAAUUGUUCUGGUGAUCAGCGGAUGCUGGUGCCGGUUCCUUCCUGAACAUGCAUUUAAGGCAUACGUAGUUAAAUUCUGAAGUCUUGAAAUCUUGUUAGGCCAGUCUCAAUGCGAGUUUUAUGAAGUUUCAUGGGCAUUAAACUCCAUGCCACAUCAACAAUUGUGCUGACUUGGCAAGUUCUUUAUGAGGAGAUCGAAAGAGGAGUUUCAUUCCCAUAACACUCAAUAAGCAUAGUUACCUAGUUUACAAUCUUGAUAACAGUUAUUGUGAACGAAGACUGAUCUCGCAGAUGAUCUCGCUUGUUUUUAUGGCAUCAUGCAUGGUCGUUCAGAAUACAACACAGUGCAGUAAAUUGCAUUUGUCUAGAUCGAACUUUUUUCUCUGAAGCUUCAUCAGUCUGGGAUCCAAUCAUCACGCACUUCUGUCACUUCUUGAUUGAAAUAAGUUAAGCAAAUGACAUAUAGUCAAAUCGACAUCACUUCCCACUUAUAUACUCUCCACUUGUCCGCCUAAUGAACUUGUCAACUCUAUAGCACCAACAUGCUAUUAACAUAUACGGACCAAUGCAUGUAUGGAGCACUAUAAAUACCCAUGCAAGCUUUAGCUCAGCACUCAUCUCAUCUCACCAUCUCACACUUGUAAGCUCACACAAUGGCAGGCACUAAACUGGUAGCCCUAGGUUUCAUUGUCCUCUUGAGCAUUAUGAGCUUAGCCAAUGCUGCAAGGGUAGCUAGGUACUCCAGUUCGGGAGGAACUGGUACCGGAGAGGGCGGCGGCGGUGGAUACGUGAAUGGUGCUGGCUCUGGGUCUGGUAGUGGUGCUGGGUCUGGUGAAAGUGGUUCAAAUGGUGUGCACGCGAGUGCCGGAGGUGGAGGCGGAGGUGGUGGUAGCAGCAACUAUGGUGGCUCUGGGUAUGGUGGUGGAUCUGGCUCGGGUUCAGGCUCUAGCCAGUACAUUGAAGGCUCAUAUUAUGGCUAUGGUGGGUAUUCUAACGCUGGUGGUAAUGGAGGUGGCGGUGGUGGAGGACAAGCUGGUGGUAACUAUGGGUCCAGUGGCCAAGGUGGUGGUAGCGGAACCGGUUCUGGCUCUAGCCAAGCUGGUACAUACCGGUACGGUCCGGGUUAUGCAAAUGCUAAUGCCAAUGGCAAUGGUGAAGGAAAAGGCACCGGUCAGAAUGGUGGUAGUGGCGGCGGUCAGGGUGGUGGAUCUGGCUAUGGUAAUGCGAACCCUUAGAAGCUCUACCUAUCAGAAGAUGGAGCCCAACCUAUGGUGUUUUUGGCUGUUAUUUUAUUAGAAUUUGCUUACUUUUAUAUUUGUAUCAUUAUGCAUGUGCUAGAUUGUAUCGAGUUAAUAAAGGGUUCCAUCAUUG
rnacentral:lncRNA from 1 species